rnacentral:lncRNA from 1 species
CCUUGAAUUAAACUAGAUCUUGUGGAAUCAUAUUGAAUAUUUGACGACAUAUUUCGUGCCUUACUAAAAAACCGAUCCUUGUUUACCAACCACACAUUGUCUAACCAAAUCCAAUUCUCUCUCGAUAUGUUCCUAAAAAAAUCUGAUUAGUGCGAAUUAUUCCCCCAACUAACGAAGAGAUCUUGGCGGAAUUGGCACAUAUGAAAUUGAGCAUAAUUUUGCAAAGAAAUAGCCCACUUCUUUCUCGAGAAGAGAUGGGAAACAUGCUCAAUAUCAUUUGAUUGAAUAGUUGACCAAGCUCCUUGUUGUUUGAAGAAACCCUCCACUUCAAUUGAUAUUUUUCCACGAAAAGCAAACAUGAGAUAACAAAUCCAGUCUUUCACUAAGAUUUUGAAUAGCUGUCCCGAAUUCAAGUUGAUUAUGUUUUGCCCCUUCCUCAGAGAAAGACGAUCAAACAAUUCCCAAUCAUGGUCCUUGUAGAUCGAAUCAUCCAUAUAAUAUACAAAAAGAAACUCCAGAUAUUUGAUAUCUUUUUCUUUGAAUGAGAUCUGAAUUCCAGCGACGGAACUAGAAUCUCUCUUUUUUUCAAUCCAGUUCCUCCACCACCGCAAACCCUAGUUAGAUUAAGACAUGAUACACUUUUUAGUUAUUGGGAGAACCCAAGUACUCUCUUUCGGAUCCAGGAAAGAGCUCUCAGAGAUCUUUUUUCCUUUUGGAAGAUACAGGAGCGAAAUAAUCAACCUAUUGAUAUUGGAAGACCAAAAGGAUUCUUCCAAUGUAUCAUUUCUAGGUCCAAUGGAAUUCAUAGGUAUAGGAAGAAGCCCUGUCAAAUAGAGAUUUUUUCUUUCGACCAUCUUUCGAUUGUUAAUACGAUAUAUAAGGACCACUACUACAAAUAGUACUACACCCUUGAUCGUAAAAUAUCGAUUGCUUGUUGAACCCUGUGAAUUGCGUGAAAGUAAGAUACUCUAAAUUCAGGACUCCAAGAGUUUUAUAAAACGUUCUUGAUGGAAAAAAAUAUGAAUGAAAGAUCCUACGGAAUUGAAUUGGGUCCAUGAAUCUAAGAAAUAAUGAGAAUUCUUGAUCUCUCUCAAUAUCUCUCUCAAUUCGAAAAUCUAGGAUUUGAAUUGAUGUCCUUUCAUUGAUUCCUCCUAAAUUGCAUUGAUUUAUCCUAAAGAUUUCAUUUCAAUUGGAAUUUGGUUAUUCACCAUGUAUGAGGAUCCCCGCUAAGCAUCCAUGGCUGAAUGGUUAAAGCGCCCAACUCAUAAUUGGCGAAUUCGUAGGUUCAAUUCCUACUAGAUGCAUGCCAAUAGGACCCUCCAAUAAGUCUACUGGAAUUGGCUCUGUAUCAAUGGAAUCUCAUCAUCCAUACAUAACGAAUUGGUGUGGUAUAUUCAUAUCAUAACAUAUGAACAGUAAGAACUAGCAUUCUUAUUGAGACUAGAACUCAUAGGGAAGAAAAUAGAUUUAUGGAUGGAAUCAAAUAUGCAGUAUUUACAGACAAAAGUAUUCGGUUAUUGGGGAAAAAUCAAUAUACUUUUAAUGUCGAAUCAGGAUCAACUAGGACAGAAAUAAAGCAUUGGGCCGAACUCUUCUUUGGUGUCAAGGUAAUAGCUAUGAAUAGCCAUCGACUCCCGAAAAAGGGUAGAAGAAUGAGACCUAUUAUGGGACAUACAAUGCAUUACAGACGUAUGAUCAUUACUCUUCAACCGGGUUAUUCUAUUCCACCUCUUAGAAAGAAAAGAACUUAAAUCAAAAUACUUAAUAGCAUGGCGAUACAUUUAUACAAAACUUCUACCCCGAGCACACGCAAUGGAGCCUAGACAGUCAAGUGAAAUCUAAUACACAAAAUACACGAAAUAAUUUGAUCUAUGGACAACAUCACUGUGGUAAAGGCUGUAACGCCAGAGGAAUCAUUACCGCAAGGCAUGGAGGGGGAGGUCAUAAGCGUCUAUACCAUAAAAUCGAUUUUCGACGGAAUGAAAAAGACAUAUAUGGGAGAAUCCCAUAGAAUACGACCCUAAUCGAGAUGCAUACAUUUGUCUCAUACACUAUGGGGAUGGUGAGAAGAGUUAUAUUUUACAUCCCAGAGGGGCUAUAAUUGGAGAUACCAUUAUUUCUGGUACAAAAGUUCUUAUAAAAAUGGGAAAUGCCCUACCUUUGAGUGCGGUUUGAACUAUUGAUUUACGUAAUUGGAAGUAACCAAUUAGGUUUACGAUGAAACUUAGAAAUCGAUCACUGAUCCAAAUUGAGUACCUCUAUAGGAUAGACCUCAACAGAAAACUGAAGAGUAACGGCAACAAGUGAUUGAGUUUAGUAGUUCCUCAUAGAAAAUUAUUGACUCUAGAGAUAUAGUAAUAUGAAGAAGACAAAAUUGUUUCAAGCACCGACAGAAUCGGAAGCACCCCUUAUUUCAAAGAGAGGAGGACGGGUUAUUCACAUUUCAUUUGAUGGUCAGAGGCAAAUUGAAAGCUAAGCAGUGGUAAUUCUAAAGAUUCCCCGGGGAACAAAUAGAAAUGUCUCCUACAUUACCCCUAAUAUGUGGAAGUAUCGAUGUAAUUUCAUAGAGUCAUUCGGUCUGAAUGCUACAUGAAGAACAUAAGCCAGAUGAAGGAACGGGAAGACCUAGGAUGUAGAAGAGCAUAACAUGAGUGAUUCAGCAGAUUUUGAUUCCUAUAUAUCCACUCAUGUAGUUUUUUUCAUUUUACGAUAUAUAAGAUCCAUCUGUAUAGAUAUCAUCAUCUACAUCCAGAAAGCCGUAUGCUUUGGAAGAAGCUUGUACAGUUUGGGAAGAGGUUUUGAUUGAUCAAAAAGAAGAAUCUACUUCAACCGAUAUGCCCUUAGGCACGGCCAUACAUAACAUAGAAAUCACAUUUGGAAAGGGUGGACAAUAAGCUAGAGCUGCAGGUGCUGUAGCGAAACUGAUUGCAAAAGAGGGGAAAUCGGCCACAUUAAGUAUUCUUUAUUUCUUGUUCUUAUUAUUUAUGAAUUAUUGAUAUUGAUUGAACUGACGACUCAACUUUGAUAUUGAUUUUUCUAUUGCUAAACUUUGAGUUUGUGAUCCGUAAUUGUCAUGAACGAUUGACACAAGUAGCAAGGAGCUGGCUCAUAUGUGUGUGAUUACGGCUUAUUCGAAUUACAUAGCUUGCAUGAUAGGCUCUAGGGAAAUAAAGGAACAAGGUUAUUUCAAUUGCAGUUAUCUCAAUUAAAUUAAUGUUGGUUUAGUCAUUCUCAUUAUUCUUAAUGCUAUCAUUAAGUUGAUAUGGAACGCUAUCGUGCCCAGUUGACUAAUGGUAAGUUUUGAUUUGGAUGUUGGGUUCGAGUCAAUUAUAUUAGGAGAAUUACACUUGUUGCGGCUUUUUCGAAUAAGUAGACUAAGUACUUGAAUAGAAGAAUUGAUAUUUUAGCCUAUGAUCAUGAUUACAAUUAGAUGGAAUUAGCACUCUUGAAUUGAAAAUUUGUUAAGAUUGAUUUUAUUUACUUUAAUAUUCAGCCUUCAUCAUUUUUUAUUUAUUUAUAAUUUUGAUUCAAACAUUCAAAACCCCCUUUUAUUUUACUUUGAGAAGCUAUUUACAUUGGUUCUCUUGGGAUUCGACCUGGUUUCACUUUUUCUACAAAUUAGUUUAAGAAAAUCAGUAAUUUAUUUUGAAGGGCUUCGACAACCCGUUCACCAUCGUACAUGCAAUUGUCUUUCAGUACCUAAAUAAUAUAGGGCUUAAUCUUGAAGUUGUUUGCCGUGAUAUUCGGUCAAACAAUACUUGAUGUAGCCCCAUUUAGAGUUAGGCGUGCAUACUCUUGCAUGGUUCUCUUCCUUGGUGGAGCUGCCAUUCUUAACCAACCCUCUUCUUGUUUUGGUUCCUCUCGAUCCUCAUAAUUCUGAUUUUAUAACUUCGCUAUUGUUUCAGCUAAAGCUCAUUCUUUUUCUUCUCUUCACUGCUUCCUCAAAGUUCUUUCCAACUCUAAUUUUUAUACGAAUAGUUUCGUCGAACUAGCUCGGGUCAUGCACAGAUCAAAGUAGUUGAAGAAAACAAACACAAGAACAAUAAGAAUAAUCAAAUAAAAAUAAAAAUACUAAAUCAUUAGCUCUUAAAUUACUAAUAAUAUCACAAUAAAAUAUUUCCCAAGCAACGACGCCAAAAACAUAAUGUGCGCUAUCCACACACAGUAAAGUUAACCGAACGUAUCAAGUAAUAAAAUGAUGAGUAAGAGUAUUGUUCCACUAGGGGACUAAUUGUAAAUACUAUUUUCAAACAUAUACUAAUGUUUAGCAAAUAAGAUGUUGUUUGGAUAUGGUGAAAUUUAAAAAUAAACUAAAUUAAAAAAAUAAUUAAAUCAAUAGAAAUAUUUAUUAAGGAUAAAACUUAUUCAGGUAAUGAAAUCCCCUAAUAAGUUAAAUAGUUCAUGAAUCAAUUGAUAAUUUAUCAUACCCAAAAUUUGAAUUGCCAUUCUGUAAAAUUAGAUAAAAAAAACUUUCUUAAGCAAUUAAAACUCUAAUUCUUAAGAGGAGGGAAGGAAAUCUCUUCUCAAACCCACUCACUCAGGUCAUGCAUUAAGAUUAAGAAACCUUUGAACUAAAGUAUCUUAUAGAUUUAUCUCUAGUAUCUAAUCAAUUCUCAAUCCCUAAGAUAUGAUCAAUUCAUAAAUAGAUAUAUCUAAUCAAUUUAUAAAAAUAAAUCCCAUUUAAUAUGUCGACUUAUUAAUUGAAAUAAAUAAUUAAGCAAUUAAAGAGAUAAGACAACUCAUAGGAAAGAUUUAAUUGUAUAAACUUUAAUCCCAUACAAAAAAAAUUAGGAUUCAAAAAAACCUAAAUAGCAAGAAAAUUACUUCCUACACAUUGCAAUAACGAAUUAAAGAAUAGGAAAAGAAGAUCUCAAACUAUUCAUGGAUGAUAGGUAGUGAAAAUCUUCUAACUUGAAUCUCCAAAUCUUAGAAACAAAGGUGGAAUUGAUGUUCUUCCUUGAAUAAUAUCCAACAGAACCCUAAGAAAUGAAAGAAAAGUAACUAUCUAAAAGCUUCUCUCUCUAAAAAUAAAGUAAAAAUUGAAUCUCUCCAAAAUGAAACCUAAAAAAUCCUUAAAUAGUAAAUUAAAGAAUUCCACACGGGGACUACACGGGUAACCACAUGGGCGUGUGGCGUCCAUGACUUUCUAUAACUUAUAAUUCUUCUUCUAGGUCACACGGUAAGAUCACAUAGGGGAGUAAGCUUCCCAUGUGAAACCUCUUUAGCUUCGGCAAUUCUGGAUUGGGUGACACAGCUGUGUAAAUUGCCCGUGGGAAGCCUCCUUGCGUUCAGCCACUUUCACCAAUACACACGGGCAAGCCACAUGGCAGUGUGCUCUCCGUGUCAAUCUAAAAAAUUUUCGCCCUUUGAUGGAAUUCACUCCAAAUUGUGACAUGGCAGUGUAGCUUUCUGUCUCAUGCCCAUGUGGAAGCUUAAUCGUGAAUAAAAAUGCCUAUCUUUUGCCCAAUUCUCAUGCUUUUUAAUUUCAAUCACCUCCUUGACAUGUAUUAUCCUCAAAAUGCCUAAGAGAACUGAAGACCAAGCUUAAACAAACAAACCAAACUCAAUCGAAAGUAAAAUCAAUAUAGAACAGAGCUCGAUAGUAAGUGUUUUAGCACUGAUCAGGUUGUAAAAGAAAAAAUAUGAGAUUCAAGAUUUUUCUCUUAUCAAAGCUAAGGUUAAGGGAUCGCAAAUUUGGAACGGCGUUACAGGAUCUCUAUUUAAGUGUCAAGCCUCUCAGAAGGUUAUCUUUAAAGGAUUUAGGUUCUGAAUUGGAGAUGGAAGCACUAUCAAAUUUUGGACUCACCCAUGGCUUAGAUUCUUCUGUCUCUUUGAAAAAUUCUCAAGACUUUACUCCAUCAAUUCUCAAUCUGAUGCUUUGGUUUCUGAAAUAGGCUUUAGAGUUAAUGGAUAUUGGUAGUGGAAUCUCUCUUGGCGUUGACAGCUUUUUGAAUGGGAACAUCAAUGGCUGGCUAAUCUUUCUUCUGAGAUCGAUUUUAUUUGUCCAAAGGAAAAUAUUGAUGAUCGAGUUACACUAUGAAGUCCUUUUGCAAGCAAUUAGAAAUCAAUAAUUCUAAUAGUUCUCCUCUGAAAGUCGAACUUCUUGUUGGUUGGUUCUUCAUAGAAAAGUCAACACAAGAGACAAUCUAGCUCCCAAAGGUAUCAUUGACUAGGUUUAACUUUAUACCCCUUUUGUAAGUCUGCCCUUAAAACUAUAGAUCAUUUGUUCUUGCAUUGUCUUUGGUCUUGGAGAAUUUGGAAUAAAAUUUUUACUUGGUGGAAUUCUCUAUAGUGCUAUCCUAGCUUGGUUGCCUAUCUUUAAUAUUUUUUGUUACCAUCUAGUCCUUAUGGAAGGAGAGAAACAAUCUUAUCUCCAAUAAUGCAUAUCCUAGUCUUGAAAAUUGUAUGAUCUCAGGGUAAAUAACGUUGUUGGUACCAAAACCUUGGCCUAUGUUUCCAAUUGGUAUCAAUGAUUAUUCUUUUUUUUUUUUUUAGUAUCAAAACCUUAAUUUCUGUUAUAGGCGAUGGUGCCUAUUAGGAAUCCGUUCAAUUCUUAAUAACGUGGAGGGUGAAGCUCCACAUUAACACUCCACUCACUAUCCAUGUCAACUUGACUUUGAGUAAAUUAUCCAAUUGGCACCAAAGUUUUGUCACUUAAAUCAAAAUGGUACCGAUUCUUCAAUUUGUUUCCUUUUAGGCAGACUAUUGAGUAUUGGCGAGUUCUUAACUCACAUGGGAAAUUCACCUUUAGACAAGUCUCUAUUAGCUACCAUCGAUUGAAACAAAAAUAAUGAGUGUGUUACUAAAAAGAAACAAAUUAAAGAAUUGGGGUCAUUUGGAUUUAAGUGGCAAAGUUUUAGUACUAAUACAAAAAUUUAUCCAAAGUCAAGCGUGACAUAAACGGUGAGUGGGAUGCUGAUGCGUUAUAAAAAUUGAACGGAUUUCCAAUAGGUACCGUCACCUGUAACAAAAAUUAAAAUUUUGAUACCAAAAAAAAAUUAAAACAUUGAUACUAAUUGAAAAAAUAGGCCAAAAUUUUGGUACCAUUCGAGCUAUUACCCCCUAUGUCGUUAUGGUAAGAAUAGCUCUACUGAAUUGAAGCAAAAAACCCAUCCUUCCCCUACUCAACAAAUCAAGUUAUAAUGUUCUCAGAUUGUAUCUAGAAUUGAGAAAAAGAGAAAUCUAGACGACCUAUUACCUUUUGGAGCCCCCACCUGUUAAUUGUUUAAAGUGGAACGUUUCUGCCUCCGCCAUUAGCAAACCAGGCCUUGCUGCAAUUGGGGAUGUGCUCAGAUCCCAUAAUGGUUUAUUCAAGGCUAUUUUCUCUUAUCCUAUUAGUGUGCAUGACUCAAAUGCUGCUGAACUACUUGCUACACUAAGAGCUCUCGAACUUGCCAAGGCUAAAGAUAUUCUAGUCAUCUCUCACUUGGGAGUUGAAUCUGACUCCGCUAACGCAGUAAGUUGGGUUAAUGGAAAGAUAGAAGACUGCCCUUAGACACUCCGGGAUUCGCUUCUUAAAAUCAAAAGCCUCGUCAGCUGCUCUUGAUCCUUCACUAUUGUUCACGUUCUCCGUGAAGCCAACUUCAUAACUGACUCUCUUGCCAAAUCUGGUAUUUCCAGAAAUUCGGACCUUAUUGCGUGGCUAUAAGUCUUCAUCAUCCUUUCUAAGACUGGACUUCUCUUUCUUUGGCAAUGCACGUUGACCACUAUUGCUACUUCUUAGCAUGAUAGUUUAUUUUCCUAUCUCACCUUCUGUAUUUUUCCAUUUUCUGCACUUUUGUCUUAUGGGGUUUUUCCACUUAUAAUUGAGAACUUAUAGGAUCUCUAGGUGUUUAAUGGACGGCCUUCUGACCUGGGUAGUUCAGUAAAAAUGACACUGACUUUCUCUCUCUUUCAAUCUUUCUCUAGUUUUCUAGAUAAUUUAUUCUCUAGAAUUUCAACAUUUAUCAAGAAAAAAGAAACCGACUUUGUAAAAGUCGGUAAUAACUGACUCUACAAAGCUAUAGAAGGAGGAUCUUGGCUCCUUAAUGGUGUGUGAUGUAUCUAAAUUAGUACUCGCAAGUGUACGAACCGUUCCUAUAGUAAGGGUAAGUUCACCACGAGGUCGAUCUCUCAAGGAACUAUGAGGUCACUUAUUAUAAAAAUUAAUUAUCAACACAAAAUAAUAAAAGUAAAUUUAAAAACUCUAAAUCAGUAUGUUGAGAUGGUAAUAUUCAUAAAGUAAAGUAACUAAACAAUAAAUAAAUAUGUAAUACAAAUGCAAAUACUUAUGAUCUAAAACUAUAUGCUAAAAACAGUUAUUAGUCUAGCCAUUUACUUAGUAAUCUCCUUGUUUUACUUUAAGCCUAGAUCUAAUGAAUGGGAUGGUGAUGUGUCUUUUUCCCUAAAUCACUCAAGCUAAUGAUACAACUUAGGUUUCUUAUACCAACAUAGAUUAAAGUAAAUAUGAUGUUUCUAAUACUUUUAACCUAAAGAUUUUCAUAAUAAAUAUUACUACUAAAUUGAUAUGAUGGUCAACCAAUAAUAAUAAAUGAAACUAAUAAAUAUAUGAAGGUAAAUAAAUCAUUUAUUAAAUAAAUAAAUAACAAGGUUCAUACAAAAGUAAAAAGACUAAACUAAACACUUAUGAAAACUAACCUAACAUAUUUAAUCCAAUGAUCAUGGUAUUAAAUAGAAAGACAAAAAAUAAUAAAGUAAAUACUCCCUCUAGAUCAAGGAUUUCUUCAAGUAGGAAAAAGAUUGGUCCUCACUCUCUACUUCUUGAAAAGCUCCUUAGAUCCUAGAAAGAAUAAUGAAAACUAAAACUAUAUGUUUAUAGAAAACUGUAGGGAAUUAUGAAGAAAAUAAUGGUGGCAGGUGUAGAGAGCAGGUAGGAGAAAACUCCACUCCUUCCCUUUUCUAGAAUUAGGUUUUACAUAAAUAUAUAUAGAGGAGAGUCCUUCUCUAUAUAAGUCUCCUUAGAGAUGUAAACCUAAUAUAAGUCUAUGUAAUAGAUAAGGCUUAAAGUAUUUUUAUCUUCACCAAAUACUAUCCCAUAAAUAACUCUUAAUAGAAAUCCUAAUAAUUAUACAAAAUGACUAAAAUGUCUCUUUGGCCUUGUAAUUAGCAGUCUAUGCAUCUUAAUCUUGGGCCUUGACACGAACAUGUCCCAUUAAGCUUUUUUUAGCUCUAUAUUUUUCUUUUUUUGCUAAUAUUCUUGAAAAUAGACAGUUAAGUUUAAAUAAGGUAAAAACACAUAUUUUCACAAUUUUAUAUAUAGAAAUAUAUCAUUAAAGCCCUAAAAUACUUUUAAAUAUCUAUAUAUAAUUUGGACCGAAAUAAUAAAGUGAGGUGUGUGCUUGUGAGUGAGUGUAGAAUAAUAGAGUGUGGUAGUGAGCAAGGUGUGUUAGUGUGUAAUAGGACAAAUAUUUUGUACUAAAGUUUUAUUUAAUAUAAUAAAAGUUUUCUUGUGCAAAUAAAUCCUCCUCUCCUUCCUUUGUUCUACAAGUUGUGCUUCUCAAUUAUAAAUUUUUUCCCAUUAUAUUUUUAAUAAAAUUAAUUUUUCUAUAAAAAGAGAAUGUAAAUAAGUUGCAUAAAGAUAAUAUCUCAUUAUAUAAUGGACACUCAAAGAUUAAUUAUGUAAAACAGACAGAAACCAUACACACCGCCACUGGAUCUGGGUAGGGGAGGAUACAAUGGUCUAACUUCAUUAAUUAAAGUGCAAAAAUAAAAUGAAAAUAAAUUAAAGACGGCUAAGUAAUCAAAGGCCUCUCUUGAUUAUUUUUUCAAUGGCUUGGAGAGAUUGAACGGCCGCCUGAAUAUAGAAGACAAUAGCUCCAGCGAUGGCAGCAAGGGGAUUGGCAGCGAGUUCUUCCUUCACAUCCUUGUCAAAUAAUUUCGCUUGCUCAAGGUAUUUGUCCAUACGAGGAGUGGCAAAAGGCCGCAGGCUUUCCACAUCACCUCUUGAAGCAAAACGCUGGCGAUCAUGGCAAGUCUCAGAAGAGAGUGCAAAAGGGCGCCCUUGUAAUUCAUACAUUUCUUGUGAUUUCGUCAAUUUCAAGAGCUGUUGCACUUCGAUCCUUAGCAUCUCAAGUAAUGGGUUUGAUUCAUCAAUUGCAUCCUCCAAUGAGUUAUGUGCUGUAACCAGCUUGUCUCGAGCAUCAUCCAGUUUAUUGUCAUCUGCCAUGACUCGUGCUUCUUUUAUCAUUCUUGUAGUCUGGAGACAGGUUUCCUCAGUUAUCACCUCUAGCCUCUCUUCCUCAUUUAGGGCUGUCUUAUUGCGGCGUACAGUCAAGGUCGCAGGAGGGGCCUCAAACGUUUUUCCUCCAGUGCUACAUAUAUAUAGUACCACUAUGAAAGAAAAUACAUAAUUUAGUUUAAUUUGCUAGCAGCUGAGAUUUAUUAGUACCUAUAAGAGUAUGCAAUUUCCAAAACAUCUGCACCCCGCUCCUUACUAAUUUCAGGAAGAAGGAGGUCCACUAUGACCUUGCGCACCUCUUUGCUGUAGAGGUCGCCAAACGUAACAGUUACAGAGCCAGCAUCAUCGUCCUUGGACUGUGGAUAGCUUCCGGCAGAUACUUGUUCUAUUGUUGAUUCGUCUUCGUGUCGUGUGACGGUCAAGUCCUGAACUACCACGGUGAGAAGCCCGGCCAAACACUGAAAAAGCUUUGCUCAAGUUAUCCGUGUUUUGAACAUCUGAGAACGUUCCUCCCAUGCUAUUAUCUGCUAUAGCUUUGAGUACCUAUUGAAACAUGAACCAAAUUAGAAAGUUACAGAAACUGCUUUUGCUUAAUAUGUAGUUUCUAAGAAAAGGAACUUGGUCCAUUUUCUAGGUCUCAAAAGGGUGUGGAAAUUAAGAGUUAUUUCAGAGUAUCCUUGGUUCAUGAUUAUGCCAAAACCGAAUGUUUAUACAGGCAUAUUGCCUACUGGAAUCUGGGCAGCAUCAUCACCGGCAUUCUGCUCACCAUCGGACAUAAGCAUGAUGUCAACCACACGGCCGCCGCUAAGACUGCGGUCAUUGAGCACUCUUAAGCCAGUUUGAAGGCCAGCAGUGAUGUUGGUUGCAGCGUCGGCAUGUAAGCCAUUGAUCAAAAUUUCAAGGUCAUUUUGAGAGUUUUCAGUUAUCUGGCGCAAUGUUAGCAUCCGCAGAGAAUGUGACAGCCGACAAAUGAUCGAUGGGACUAAUCCGGGUCUGUCAUUGGUGGAAUCUCCACCAGUGAAAACCAGCAUCACCUUGAGUUUGCUUUCUUCAAGUGGUGCCAUAUUAUUGUUUAUGCUUAUGAGUUGUACUCUUCCCGGUACAUAUGGUGUUGGUCUUGACCCUGUCAUAUGCCAGUCCAAACAGAAACACAUUUAUCAAACUAGGGAUGAAGAUGCAUGAAUGAAACGAAUGAAAAAUUGAGUGCUGAAAAUGAAUGAAAUCGUAAUUUAUAUCAGUAAUGGAGAAAAAUACGCAAGCAUAAAUCUGAGUCUGGACAGGUAACAAUCUUCUCAUCAUCGUUGAAGCUCAUUUUGGCAGAUAAACUGUUAAACACUAUAACUAUGGAUCUGCUAAAUUUUCCUGAGGUGGGUUAGUUACAAAAUCCACCUCCUAUAUAUAAUGUUGGGAGCAAAUUCCUGAUUCAUUAAUAUUUUCUUUUGCCAUACUGGACAAGGUCCUUUUUAUGAAGUCUGCUUUUUUUUUUUUUUUUCUCUUUUUUAAAUAUCUAAUCAUAAUUGUGGAAAAUAUGGCCAGAUCGCCUUUGUUCCAUGAAGUCCUUUGUUUUAAAGUUUAUGUGGAACUCAUCAAUAUGAUCAUCUUGACUAUAAAAAAUAUUUAACAAAUAAAUAAAUUUAAAAAUCAUUUUUAUAGUUAUUUAGCUUGUAAUUUUAAGAAUUUAAAUAUUUUAUUAUUCUUUUUUAAAAAGUUUAGACGCUAUUCUAUUUAAUGUUUCUGCUUUUACUUUUUUUUAUUAAAUCUUUUGCUUUUAGAUAAAUGUAUAAAUUUAAAAGUCAUAAAAUUAAAAGAAAAAAUAUAAAAACAAGUACGUUGCUGAUAAAGCUAAUAUAUUAAUAUUACAAUGAUAAUAUUUAAGUUUGAUAGUUCAAUAUUUAGGGAAUGAUAAAUUUUUAAGUUUGAUAAUUCAAUAAUUUUAGAACCCUUAAAAGGUUAAAACUAUUUUUAGAGUUGGAGUUGCAAAUUUUAAAUAAAUAAAUAAAAAUUACCUUUCAGGUUUUUUUUAGUCCGUUCAAAAAUAUAGAUCAUUUUCUUUUUUUAAUUUUAAUUUAAUAAUUAAAUAUAUAAAAUAUCUUUUAUUAUUUAAUAUAAAUAUCAACACUUAUAAUUAAUUCUAUCUACUUGAUUUUGAAAUUGCAAAUUACUGUAUAACUUUUUUUUUCAAUUCUAAUGUAAAAUUCUUUUAAAGGUAUUUUAGUAUAAAAUAGUGGCAUUAAUUGAGAAAACUGGAUUUCUUUAACUCUUGCAAAUUGAAAAUGGCUUAAAGUCGGACGGAAGUUAGUUGUCUAAAAAAUUUAAGAGCGAGAUUUAUGGUUUAAUAUAAAAAUAAUAGUGGGAGGUUGGAAGUCUCAACUUUUUUAUUCUUUUAGCUUUCAAUUAAUGAACUUUAAUGAGUUUUACAUUUUUUAACUUUAUAUUUGGACUAUACAAAAUCUCAAUAUUGUAAAGAUGUUUAAUAAGUCCAAAUUAUAUAUAGUUGUUUAAGAUAUUUUAAAACUGUAAUAAUAUAUUUUUUAUAUAUAAUAUAGUAAAAAUAAGUGUUUAUACUUCAUUUAGACUUCCUUGUCUAAUUUAGAUAAUAUUAACUAAAAGAGAAAAAUAUGGAGCAAAAUACUAAAAAAUUAGUUUAAAAUCGGACAUGUUUGUAUUAAGACCCAAAACUGAGACACGUGGACUUGCUAUUUGCUGGGCUCGCCGAAAAUCACUAUUUACCUAAGGGACAAUUUAGUCAUUUUAUAUUAUUAAUUAUAAUUUUUAUUAAAAAUUAUUAUAGGAUAAUAAUUGGUGGACAUAAGGAUAUCUAUAGUCUUAUAUAUUAGAUAGACUUAUCUUGGGUAUAUUUAUCUUUAGAGAGUUUUAUUUUGGUGGAGGACUCUUCUUUCUCCUCAUCUCUCUCUCUCUCUAUAUAUAUGCAAAUCUAGUUCUGAAAAAUGUGGAAAGUCUCUCCUAUCGACUCUUUGCUACAUCUCCCAUUUAUAUAUAUCCAUUAUUCUUUUCACUACAAUUCUCUCUAUAAUUUAUUUUCCAUAAAUACUUUAGUCUUAGUUUUCAUUAUUUUUUGAAGAUGUAAGGAGAUUUUCAAGAAGUGGAGAGUGAUGACCAAUCAUUUUCGUAUCUUGAAGGAUUCUGGAUUUCGAGAGAGCCUUUAUUUUCUUUUUAGUUGAGUAUAUAUUUUCUAAUUUUAAUGUUUAUGUUUAUAUGAUAUUAAAUUUCAGACAAGAGACUACCAUCUUAGUGAUGUAGCAAGCUCACUAAAUUUAAGGGGAAUGUUUAUGAUUUUGAUCACAUUUCAAUGUAGAAAAAAGAAAUAUGAAGAAAUUAAUAAUUUUUUAUUAUCGAAAUGUAAUUAGUUUUACUAUUUUUUCCAAAGAAAUAUAUAGGUUAAUAUUUUUUUUUGGAUAAAGUUUAAUUUGGCCACUAACUUUAUUGUUGAAGUUCAAUUUAGCUAUUUUUUAAUUUUUUUAAUAUUUUAACCCAAAACUUUACAUAUUUACUCAAAUUAGCCAUAUUUUUUACAAAAAUGAAAGGAUGAGCUACACAUUCUCUAGAAAGAGAGUGGAUAGAAUGAGAAAUAAAAAAAAAUAUUAAUUUCAUAUUAAAUUAUUUAAAUUAAAAAAUAUAUAUUGGUAUUUAAAUAAAGCACAAUAAAAUAAUAAAUAUUACUACAACGUUCUUGCUUUUUUCUUCUUAAUAAUGACAGUGAAAGAGACAGUUAUAAUAGUAGUGGUACUAAGGGCGGUGGAGGUGAAAGCGGUUUCACCAAAAAUAAUGGUGGUAAUAGCUACUUAUUAUUUUAAUUACAUUAAUUGUAUUAAAAUUAUAAAAUAGUUUUUAAAUAAUAUUUUAAUAUUUUAAUUAUAUUUUAUUUUUAAGAGAGAGUGACUCUCACUCUCUCAUUUUUUUCAAAAUAUGAUAGUUUGAGCCAAUUAUAAAAAGGGUUGAGCUAAAAAGUUCAUAAAUUUAAAAAAGAACUAAAUUGAGCCUGUGUGAUAAGGUUAAUGACGAAAUUGCACUUUAUUGCUUUUCCUUUUAUCAUUUUAGGAUAAUACUUGAGUUAUAAUUUUAUGAUUUAGAAUGAUUAAUAUAUUAAAAAAAAGGUUUUAAAUAAUUUCAAUGCUUUUAUGUUAAAUUUAAAUAUUUUUUAUUUUAAAAUUGAGCUCCAUACUUUCAAAUGAUAAAUGGAAAAUAUAAGAAGUAAACCAUGUAUAAAAUAUUUUAUUUUGUUAUUUUAUUUUAUUCUCACUAUAUUAAGUGGUAUUUGAUACGUGCCAUUAGUAUAUAUAAUUGGUAUUUAAAUAACAAAAUCAAGAUAAAAGAAUUUUUUAAUUUAAUCUAUUAUGAAUUGAAUAUAAUAACAACUAAUAUCGAUAUCUCUUUAUAAUCAUUUAAAUUUAUCUGUGCAAAAAAUAGGUACUAAAAAAUAGUUUAUCUGUCACAACCAAAUUUAUUUACUUCUUUUUAUUAAUAAUUAAUAUUCAUUAGCAUGUCAUUAAACAUGUCAUUUGCAUCAUGAUUAUAUAUGAUCUAUUUUAUUAUAUUAUGUGGUAGAUAAAUAAAUUAUUUAGUUACAUAUUGAUUUAAUUGAAAAGUAAUGAUUUUGGACUAAAUUGAAAAGUUAGAAAGAAAGAGGAUUAAAUUGUAAUUUGCCUAUUUCCACACCAAUAUACCACCUCUUUCAUUUGUUCUUAUCUACGUAUGCUUUCCAAUUUCCUUUUCUUCUUUGUCUCUCUCAUUUUUCUCCUUUCCUUCUUCAACUUUGAUUUUCCAAAUCAAACUCUACAAAACUUUUAGUAAGUGAAAAUCAAAUUCUUCUUUUAAGCUUGAAAGAUUUGGGCUUUCUUAAUCAAGGAAAACAAAGGUGAGUAAUUUUAAUUGCUUGAUUUUGCUGUAAAUUAGGGUUAAUGAUAUGAAAUUGUUGAUGAUUAUGUGUUUUGAAAUUGUUUAAUCAAAAGUAAACAUGCUUUUACUUGUGAUCUUGAAGCUGAAAUUUCUGGGCAGAUUUUUCACUUAUGAUUUCGUGACCUUAGAGGCUUUAUCUCGAAAAUUUUCAAACAUGAAAGUUGUAGGUAUAUGUCUCAAGAAUAUCUCUGUAAAAUGGUUUUGCAGAUUGUUGAGUGAGUAGGAACUUAUGAGGUUCGAUUUUGCUGCUGCUCUGUUUUUGGUUCAGCAGGUGACCUGGUUUUUGUGCUGACAUUUUGAGGCAUUUAGAGGCUGAACCAAGCAGAGAGUUAAACAUGAAAGUUGUUCAUUUAUAUAUGUAGUAUAUGUCUGAAAAAUUUCAUAAUUUUUGGUUGAGUAUAACGUGAGAUAUGUUGAACUUAAUAUGGCCUGCCCGAAACUGUUUUAAGCAGAAAUCGGGCUUAGGAUUCAAAAAUUUGUUGCUAAUUGUGUGUUUCACAACUUGAGCUAGAAAAGUCUAAAUUGAGUAAAAUUAGUGUCUAUAGAAACUUUAGAAUGUUAACUUUAUAUCUGAAGAGUUUCAUCAGAAAAUUCAUUUGUUUGAUUGGUCAUUUAAUAGGAAACUUUUUUUUCUGUUCUGUUUAGAUGGAAAUUUGAGCAGCUGUAUAGAAAAUGCCAUAACUAUUUCUAUACCAAUGAUUUUGAGGUGAUUCUUUCUGCUAUGGUUUCUAUAAAAAUGGAAGUGUAAUUCUGGAAAAUAUGAGAUUUUUAUUAAUUGUACAUAAGUUUUGGUGUAAUUUCUAAGUCAGUACCUACAAGCUGCCUUCAUCAACAAAUAUGUUGAUUUGUUGUCAUUCAUCUCAUGCAUCAUAUUAAUAUCUAGAAUAUAUGUUAUUUUGUUGAAAUGUGAUAUUUUAUUGAUAGUAAAUAUAUAUAUAUAUAUAUAUUUAUGCCUUGUGAUUGAAUUGUAUUUGUAUUGAAUAUGUGAAUAGGUUCAUCCAAAGGCAAGGAAGUGGUAAGAGAAAAAGAAUAGGAUUACUUUGUUAUCCUAUAACUUCUGGUAAGUAUUUAAUAGACUAAACUUUGUGUAUAUUGAGUAGGGACUGCUGUUUGAUUACUUGAUAAUUUCUUGAUUGACUGAGUUGAUAUUAGUUAUGUUUUUGGCUUGUUAUAAAGUGAAUUGAUUGUGAUGUGUUGUGAAGUGAAUUGAUUGUGAUGUGUUGUGAAGUGAAAUGAUUGUGAUUAAGGAUUGAUGACUUUUGUAUGGAUAUUGUGUGAUCGGGAAAGCUGAGCCGGGCGGAUAGCUACCCGAGUAUGUGAGAUGGCAAGACUGAGCCGGGCGGAUAGUCUUGUCAAGUGGUUACUGAAAUUUAAAAAUGUGAGAAAAUGUAAGGAUGAGUCAUCUGAUCCUAAUUUGAUAGAAAUAAUGUGGAAUUGAAUUAUUUGACUUGGUUGAGUUUGAGAUUAUUUGCAUUACGUGAGAUGAAAUUAUAUGUUUAUGAGAAUAACUGAAAUGGUUGAUUUUGUGAUUGUUAGUUAAGUGUUGGUAUAAUUUUCUGUAUUGAUAAAGAUUUGAUAAUUCUAGCCUAAUAUACUAUAGUUUAGUAAAUUAAAUGCUUAUUGAGUCGCUAGCUCAUUCCUUAGCAAUUUUUUUUUUCAGGUUAGUGCAGUUGUAGAUAGUCUUAGCUGUGCAUUGCUCUUUUUGCAUCAGUCAAUAUUAUCAGGUGGGCCAGAGGAGUUAUCUAAAGCAUUGGGGCAUUUUGGGAACUUGUGUGAAUUAAACUACUGUAUAAAUAUUUCUUAUAUAUAUUAAGUAUGUCAUGCCACUUAAAUUGUAUGAAUGUAUAUUGUAACUAAGUAGUAAAUUAUGUUUAUAAAGUUAUAUAUAUAUAUAUUGCUAUUCAAUGGGAAGUUUGAGUUGGGGUGUUAUAUUAUCUCUGUUCAUAAGUUGACGGAUAUCGUAGUGGAGGCACUAUAAAGAGGUUAGCUUCACUAAGGUUAGCUUAACUAAGUUGCUUUGGUGCACUUCCGAUUGUCUUAUAAAAGAACAAAGUUACUUUAUUUUUUAUAUUAAUCCAAAGAAAUGAAUAUUAAACGUGAAAGAGGAGGUAUAAUAAUGUGUUAUUUUUCUACCUUUAUUCCACUAAUUUAUAUGGUUUAAUCGUAGAAUAUAUUUAUUAUUAAAUUUAGCAUGUAAUUUUCAAAUUUUUUAUUUUAUAUCAAAUUUAAGAUUUGAUUUUAAUUUUAGUGUCUCAAAAAAUUAUCAGUUCAAGCGAUAACAAAGAAAAGAAGAAAAUGAGUUAGCCUUCAAUAUUUAAAUGGUAUUAUUUAAGCAUAUAAGAUUAAAUAAAACUCCAAGAUUAAAAAUAAAUAUUAAUUUUAUAUACUUAAAUAAUGAGUUUAUAUUGAGAAGAGAAUAUGAAAAAGCGUGCUCAUUUUCCAAACUGAUAAUAUAUGUUUUAAAAUUGCAUGUUUAUAAUUAUAAUUGACAUACUAUAUAUACUCAAUUGUAAAUGUUUACUGGGUUCACACACCAAAUGGUAAUUUUUAUAAGUUUAUAUACAAUAUCUGUAAUUAUUUAGCUUUUUUUAUAUAGAUGACCGGUUUUAUACAGUUAAAUAUUAAUAAUUUUUUAUUUUACACACUAAAUUAUAAUUUUUAUGAAUUUCAACACUUAAUUGUCAAACAUUAAUAAAUUUAUACACUAUUUUUAUAAUUAUUUAUUUUAAUAAUGGAAUGAAUUAAUAACUUUACUAUUGAAUUAACUGUUGCUAUAUUUAUUUCAUGCUAGUAAAUUUGACCAAUAAGUUUAUGAAAUAUUAAAAUUAAAAUAUAAUAUAAAAAUUAAAUCUUACACGCUAAAUUUUAAAAUAAUUUUAAAUCAAUUUAUUCAAACCCCUUUCCGAUUAUAGUCUUCUUAUCCUUCACUUUACAUGUUUCUUUUAUCUUUAUCUUUUUCUAUAUUUUGUCUCCAUUUGGUUUUAAUUAUAAUGAUUGCAAAUACCAUUGAGCUCACUUUACCUUUUUUUCCUUUUUCCCAUUCUAUUUUAUGUUUGCAAUUACAUGUCGUUAUAAUGAUUACAAUAUUAUUUUUGACUGAUUGUUCUUUCGUAUAUUUUGUUGUCGCUCACUUUUUCUUUUUAUUAAUAAUACGAGGAGAGAGAGUGAUCAGAGACAGCAACCCUCGCUACGUGUAAUCAUGCGAGCUUUUUUAGCUUGAAAUAGAGCUCAAGCUCGUCAUCGCAGCACCAACCUCGAGUCAAACGAAAGAGAUCCAAUCAGCACCGGACCUAAAUGAUCCUAUUAGAUGCAUAAUUAAAAUAUACAAUUAUUAAUAUCCAAAUACAAAUAACAUGUCCUAAGUAUUAUCCUCAUACAAAUAAAUAUAAAAUAAAGUAAAAGCACAAAUAAGCAUAAAUAACAAUAAAAGGAAAACACAAGCAAAAGUCAAAAGUACAAAGGCAAAUGGGAUCUUUACUGCUGCUGCUCAAGAAGCUCUAAUGGUUCAUCAGUCUUCACUUCAUUAGCCUGAACUUACCUUUUAAGUGAAUCUAAGACCACCCUCUACUCCAAACAUCACUCCCAAUCCCCUACAACUACUCAAAAUUUGUUAUAAAAAAGGGAUCUCCUUGGCCUUGCACCUAUCCCUCUAAUUAGGUGCCACAAUAGGAGGAGCUAUCUAGGGGACUGCUACUAGAGGAGCCUCAUCUGUAGCUUCUUCCUCUAUUCUAUCAUUAUCACCUUCUCUUUCAUCCUCUCCUCUACUUCUUCGCCGUCUAUCAAAGGAUCCCUAUCCAAAUUCCUCCACACCCCUCUAGUCUUUCUGUAACCUAUAUUUUGUAGGUUACUCUCUGUUAGCUCAUCUAUAGAAGUAGUAAAACCUUUUACACAUCCUCUACAUCCACACCAACGUCCUCAAGCAACUUGCUAAUCAAUCUCAGAUAGACAAAGAUUUUUCUGCUCGUUUGGACCUCACCACCUUCCUUAUAUGCUCAAUCAGAAUUGGAGCAAGAAGAAUCCCUUGGACACUUCCUUCAAAGCCAUGGAACAUCUUGUCCAUGAUAUACAUGUCAGAGAAUUGAGCUUCAUUUAAACCACUAGCCUUUAGUAUGAUAUUGUAGCUCAAUAAGUAGACCAUAAUCUUUGCCUAAUAGGUAGGGAUUUGCAUAAUAUUAUUUAGCAACCCCUAAUAGUAGAGAAUUAAGUACCAAAUCUCUCCAAACACAACCACAUAAUCUCUAAUCAUAUGGAAGGUUGGUCCUGUCUCUGAAAUAUGUAACCUCCUCGCAAGACAGUUUUUAGUAACUGUUACUCUAGUACCUGAUAAUAAAACAUUAUAAGCCAAUCUGUCAUGAUCAAGAAAGACGGGAUUGACCAUGUCUAUAUUCCAUUACAAAAUAGUCUUAAAGACUGUGUCAUGAUUAAACUCUAAUUGAAAAGUUCGACCCGACCUAGGACGCUGCUAUCAACUAAAAAGACAAGUCCUAAUGUGAUUAGGUUAACCUAGAUCUAUGGAAUUCUUCUCCUAAUAGGAUUAGAAGACCUUCAAUGUCUGUAUAAGGAACUAUGAUACAUUAUUUACAAGUACAUGCUACUUUACACACUCAUUAUUCUACAAGCACCCUUUUAUAAAUUACUGACUUAAUCAUCGGAGUAAGUAGUCGAAAAACCUCGUCUGGUGCUUUCUAACCAUCUUUACAGAUACUCCAAACAUUGAGUUAGCCUUUGGAGAUCUUGUUGAUAGCUCAACUUGUUGACUGAGUUAUCAAUUGGCGUUGUCUAUGGAAAACUUCUGUGCAAAAAGCUUUAUUUCUCUAUCUUAUCAAGCUAAAUGGCAUAUGGCCGAGAUCAAAGUGGAGAUGUUCUCGCACCAGGAACUAGGGUUAGAACCAGUGAUCCACCUGCUAAACCUGCAAUUCCUCCGCAAGUUAAUCAACCAUCAAUAGGUCCUCCUAGACCGAUUAUACUAUCUUCCCAGCCUUGUAGGAGAAAUAUUUUUAACAACUUCACACUUGAGAAAAUCUUCAUUAGAAAUUAUACUUGGAGAGGUCCACCCCUCGUGGAGGAUCUUUUAGCUACUUGGCAAAGGGAGAUAGGGUAGAGACCUCCAACACCUAUGUUUCAGCCUCCAUUCUUGCCAUCUCCCAUUACACCUCAGAGCCGAAUUCCACCACCUAGUCUUCCUCAAAGUCCAUGGCAAGCAUCACCAUAGGAUGUUGUUACUAUGUAUAAUCGGCAGGUGGAGGACAUAAAGAAUUAUUAUAAGAGUGUUCUAGCUCAGACACUCGCAAGCUAUGCUUGUAAGCACUAGCCAAGCUCCUAUAAUAACCAAGCAUACCAUUGAUAUCGAUCCGUCACCGAACAUAUAUAUUCUAAGGACAACAAAUACUCAAACAAAAGAUAAUAAGUCUCGAAAAGGAAAUAAUCGAGCUAGAGAUACCGAGUAGUAAAGUCCUAGUUCUUAAACUCAUGAUUCUGCAUGGAUUGAGGAGACUAUUAAUAAGAGAAUAAAUGAUGAUUUGAAAAAGUAUUGCACGAAAAGAAUAAUGAGAGAUGGGGUCUUCUCUAAGGGUAAUCCCCUAUGUCUGAGCAUCCUAGCAUAGCACUUUCCUGAUAAGCUAAGAUUGCCACGUUUGGAUUCCUAUGACGGUUUGGAGGAUCCACGAAGUCAUGUUAAUAAUUAGGUGUAAAUUUUUUUCGACAAUCCUAAAGGAAAGUGCUUGAAGUGGUAUCAAAGCUUGUUAGAUGGCUCUAUAUAUGAUCUUGAUAUGCUUAUUGAAUUUUUUAAUGCUUGGUUCAUCAUCAGAUACCCUAAAAGAAGAGGUCUGGUGAUUUAAAGAAGUGUAUAAAGAGGCAUGAUGAGAGCUUGAAAAAUUUUAUGGAAAGGUUCAAUAGGGAACCAGGACACGACUAUAGAUGCAAUGAUCGAUAAUACCUGUAUGAACAAGUUUAAGGAUUCGUUGACCAUAGACUCGCAAGAGUCUUAUGCCGAGCUCAUGGACUGACUUUACAACUUCAUCAAGUUAGACGAAGAUUAUCGAGUUGGAAGAAGGAUCGACCAUGAUAAUUAGUCAAAAGAGAAAUCUGAUCAGCCUAAGCAGGGUAUAGGGAUGAUAGUAGGAAUAAUGACUUCAGGAGCAGUAAUAAGAAAGACUUUGUUCCUACGAACAAACCAAGUACCAAUAUCUUAAUAUGGGUUCAGAAGAAUAAGGGAGAUAAUUUGAUAUCCAAAUCCUAUGAGGUAGAAAACUAUAGAUUCCAUGAACCAAAAUAGUUUUAUAAGUUCCAUAAUAGUUAUGGUCAUUAUACAGAGGACUGCAUUCGCCUCAAGAGAGAGAUUGACAAGCUGAUUGAGAGAGGGCACCUUAAGAGUUUUAUUACUAAAAAGGAUGGUCGGUCCGAUAGUAUAGGUUCUAGGGGCUCCAAGGGAUCAAAACAUAGAGAUCAGGAGGAGUCCCCAUGAAAGAGAGAUUUCGAAGAAGGUGAUAUUUAUGUGAUUUUGGAGGAGCUAUGUUUGUUGCUAAGAGCUCUAAGAGAAAAAGAUGCCAAGUUAUGAUGGCCGAGAAUAAGAAACUACCAGAUAUAGUUUUCUCAUAGAAAGAUGGAGAAGGAAUUGAAAUGCCUCAACAAGAUGCCUUAGUAGUCUCGGGAUUCAUUGAGAACUAUUGGGUAAGGAGGCUAUUUGUUGAUCAUGGAAGUGCAGUUAACAUCAUGACUCUACAAUGCUAUAAGGGCAUUGGUGGACGAGUGAUGAUUCUAAAGUCAUGCAUGAUUAUAUUGCUCGGCUUAGGUAGUCAGCUAGUGUAGCUGAUAGGCUAUUUAUGCAGCUAUAAUCUAAGGCAGUGAACCUAUCGAUGCAGUCUAGCACUAAUGGCAAGUAUCAAGGUCGUAUCCCUCGGGAAAGUGAAAGCCCAAAGUUACUACUUUGUUCUCUAUUAUAUUAGCCUAAAAUGAAUGGUGAAUAAUUUCUGAAUUUAAUAAUAACUACAAGCUGAGUUCUAAGUGCGAUGCAAGAAUGAAUGGAUAAAUAAAACAACCAAGACAAGAAAGCAAACCCAAAGGGAAUCUAAACUAGUUGGCAAUCAAACAAAAGAUAACAGAUUGAUAAGUCCAAUUACGCUACCCGUGGACAAAUUCUUGGCUGAAUUCGGUUUCUCUCUCGAGAUAACCGAAUUCCUAAACUCAAGAACCUAAAGUUGGAAUCUCUUCCUAACGAUUGAUCCUUAAAUUAGCAUUAAGCUUUAAUCCGCCUCUAUUAAGCUUUGUUAAUUCUUAAUCUGGCUAGUCAAUUAUCCUUAUCUCUAAGUGAUUGUUAACCAGUUCUUGCUAUUCAAAAUUCCAAUUGCCAAAUGAACUUCUCAAUCACACAAAGCAAUCUAAACACCAUAAUUCAUAAUGUCUCAUGAAUAAUGUAUUAUCUUAUUAAUACUGAAAGCAAGAAGGAUACAAAACUAAACUCAACAAUCCAACAAUUUAAUAUUAAGCCAACAUAGUAAAGAAAUCCCAAUGGAUUUAAUCGAUCUAGCUAAACAUAUUCAUGUUUAAAACAACUAGGAAAUCAAUUAUAAUGAAAGAAUAACAAAAAUGAAACAUAUACACCCUUUUCUCUCGAAUUGGAUGAACAGCUCCAAAUCUGAAUCAGCACUACGAUUGGUAUUCCCAAUUGCCUCUCGAUUUGCUCCAAUACUAUUUUGCACUCAGAACUUUGCGAUUUUGGUAUUCUCCCUCUCUGCAACUUUCUCCCGAACUCAGUACUCUACAAGAAUCGAACUAGUCACCAAAUCUCCCUCUCGCCCCUUGCUUUCCUAGCUCAAGAAAUCAUUUUCCUUAUAUAAUUGUCCCACCACGGCUGUGGUCAUGGCCGUGCUGGUCAGCACUGCCGGAGUCCAGUCCGUGCUGAACCAUCAGAUCUCGCAAGUUAGAUUUUCUUCCUGACCGUGCCCCCGUCGGGGCUGACCACCACGGGUCGUGCUGGAGGUCGUGACAGCCUCGAAAAUUGUGCCCAAAAUGCCAUAUUUGAGGAUCAAAGGCUAAUGGUUGUUCACGGCCAGAGUCCAGGCCGUGCUGAUCAGCACGACCUUGACCUAGGCCGUGCUCAAUGUUUGACAUGCGAGCCUGAUGGGCUCAAUCGUGUUAGCUACAAUCUAAGGCAGUGUACCUAUCGAUGCAGUCUAGCACUAAUGACGAGUAUCAAGGUCGUAUUCCUCGGGAAAGUGAAAGCCAAGAGUUACUCCUUUGUUCUUUGUUAUAUUAACCUAAAAUGGAUAAUGAAUAAAUUCUAAACUAACUAUUAACUACAAGCUAAGUUUUGAGGGAGAUGCAGGAGUAAUUGAUAAAUGAAAUAAUCAAGACAAGAAGACAAACCCAAAGGGAAUCUAAACUAGUUGGCAACCGAACAAAAGAUAAAGGAUCGGUGAGUCUAAUUAUGCUACCCGUGGACGAAUUCUUAACCGAAUUCGGUUUCUCUCUCUCGAUAACCGAAUUCCUAAACUUAAUAACCUAAAGUUGGAAUCUCUUCCUAACGAUUCAUUCUUAAAUUAGAAUUAAGCUUUAAUCCGCCUCUAUUAAGCUUUGUUAAUUCUUAAUCCGGCUAGUUAAUUAUCCUUAUCUCUAAGCGAUUAUUAACCAGUUCUUGUUAUUCAAAAUUCCAAUUGCCAAACGGAUUUCUCAAUCUCAUAAAGCAAUCUAAACAUCACAAUUCACAACGUCUCAUGAAUAAUGCAUAAUCUUAUUAAUACUGCAAACAAGAAGAAUACAAAACCAACUCAAACAAUCCAACAAUAUAAUAUCAAGCCAACAUAGUAAAGAAAUCCCAAUGGAUUAAAUCAGUCUAGCUAAACAUGUUCAUGUUUAAAACAAUCUAGGAAAUCAAUUACAAUAAAAGAAUAAUGAAAAUAAAACAUGUACACCCUUUUCUCUCGAAUUGGAUGAACAACUCCAAAUCUGGAUCUACACUUUGAUUAAUCUCCCAAACUGCCUCUUGAAUUGCUUCACUACUGUUUUGCACUCGGAACCUUACGAUUCCGGGAUUCUUACUCACUGCAACUCUCUCUUGCACUCAAUACUGUACAAAAACCGAACCAGCCUCCAGGGCUCUAUGUCACUCUUUUUCCCCUCCUCUUUUCCCGAAAGAACUCAAAAUUCCCUAUAUAGUUGAUUCAGCACGGCCGGAGUCCAGGCUGUGAUGAUUCAGCACGGCCGGAGUCCAGGCUGUGAUGAUUCAGCACGGCCGGAGUCCAGGCAGUGCUGAAUCUGUGGAGUCUGUUAUGCUGACUCCUUCCAAGCCGUGCCCAAGCCGGUGCUGAGCCACCACAGGCCGUGCUGGAGGCCGUGGUGGCUACGGAAGUCGUGCUGAAAUGGCACAAUUGGGGAUAGCCUCUUGGUAAUUCAGCACGGCCGGAGUCCUGGCCGUGCUCAACCCUCGGGGUGCUAGUUCUCACCCAAUUUGAUGGAUUUUGGUCCGUAAUCACACGUAUUUCCCUCGAUUAGUGAUGGUGUCCUUCAAAAAUGACCUGAAACGAGAAAGGAAACAAAAGACAGGUGAUUCUAGCAUAAAACGGGAUAAUCAUGCAUAAAAAUGUAAACAAUCGAGCAUGAAAACAUGUGUAGUAUGAUGCUUAUCAAAUUACCCCACACUUAAGCUAUUGCUUGUCCUCAAGCAAUUAACAACUCACCCCAUAAAACUGCAGUUAGCAAUUCCUUUGAGUUUAUGCCCCUAGUCCACAACAGAGAGUAUUCAACACAUCUCAAAGGAUACUCAAUCAUAAAUCAAAUUACAAAUCAUUAACAAAGAAUGGAAAUAAUAUUAAUGCAUGAGUAACUUAAAUGACAACUCAACACAAACAUCAUGAACCAAUGCCUCACAGGGAUCACUCAAGUCGCUCAAAGUGUAUAUUAGGUGAAUAACAAAUCCCUCAAAGCAAAUGCACAAGACCCGCUCACCAUAAGCUUGCUCAUAAAUCAUAUCUUCGCUACUGUGAAUAAGUAAAUACCAAAAUCAAAGGGUCUUUACCAAGGUUGAAAUAGGGCUAAGGUAAAGGUACGGAGAUUUGGAUAGAAGUGUAAAAGUGCUGGAAUUCGUGCGAUAAACAAUAGUAUAUGCUCAAAGGAUUAAAUGCCUAAGAUCACAAAAAGAAUCAUUCACUAAAGUCCCUACUUAAUAGAAUAACGCUCGCAAAUGCUCUAAAUCCAAUAAAAAGAUAAAUAAUUAAAGAGAUUUGUUUAUUAUAUAUUCCUUUUUUUUUAAUAAUGAACUAGCAGCUUAUUAGCGACCGCUGCAUACAACUCGAAUAAACAUAAAGAAUAACAAAUACAAAUUGGAUCAAAGGGAGCAUUUAAAAUAUCAAAAAGAUUUAGUGAAUUUACCAACAUAGCAACUAGCAUUUUAAUCCCACAUAAAGUUGAAUAAAUCACAGAAAGAAAUUCCAGCAUAAGGGUAAAGGAAAGAUAAAUGUAAAGAAUGGUAUAAUUGAAGUGUAUAGGUGUAGAUUAUGAAGAAAAGGUUAUAGGCUCAAAAACUGGCUAACUAAUGGAAACAUAAGGUGAUAGGCUUUUGGUCAAAUGUGGUGAAUCCUAAAUUGCCCAAAUCAUCUCAUGGUAUUCACAAUAUUCAUGUAACUUCAACAUGCAUUACAAAGCAAGUUCUAGAAGCAAAGUUAAGUGCACACUCAAACAAGAAAUAUAAAGAGCAUAAGUAUAAUGAAUGCUCAACUGGCUCAAAAUCUCACUUUUAGGUGUGGUAUUAGGUGCAGUUGGUUCGCAACAUCAUUAAUUGAAUCAUUACUGUAGAAACACAUGCAUAUGAUAUUAUCAACGUUCUAAGUUAAAAUUCGACAAUUCGAAAAAACAAUUAAAUAACACCGGUUUAACCCGGCAGGGUUGAUGUGUAAAACACCAUAAAUUGUUUUCUAAGGACAAUGAACAGCAAAGAAAAGUAACUACAAUUCUAUAAAUCAAGUCAUCAAUCAGCUCAAAAAUAGCAUACUCAAGUGCAUAAAAACACAGUGUCCUAACAUCCCCUAAAAAUACACAACACCUAGCCAUGGCAAUUUUAGAUAUAUUAAAAAUCCAUAAGAGAGAUUAAGGUUUACCCAUAAGCACCCCACACUUGAAGAACACACUGUCCUCAGUGUAAAAUGUUAUGGAUACCCCACAUGGAAUGCUCAAAUAAGAGAACAAAGGUAAUACAAUCCAAGUGCAUGACAUGUAUGAAAAAUAAAGUAAAUAAAUGCAGAAAAAUAAAAAGAUCUAGGGGACUGCCCUAUCAUCCAUCGAGGCUGAUGUUGUGGAAAUUCAGUGCCUCCUCGGUAGAAUCUAAAAAUAAUAAAAUAAAGAAAUAAAAUCGAAACUGAAAAUAUGAAAACUAAAACUAAUAAAAUGUUUCAAAACAAAAGGUUAAAAUAUUAAAGAUUAAAGAUAAAGUUUGGGGUGCCUCCCAAAAGCGCUUCUUUUUUAUGUGAUGAGUCUUCUUAGCUGGACUCAUAGUGAUAAGCAAACGUUGGGGAUUGGCGACCAUCCAUCCUUCUUCCAAGCAAAUGGCUUCAAAUAUCCGCUUAGAGGGAUAAUCGUCAACUUCCUCUUCCCGACAGUCAAGCAAGCUGCCAGUAUGAUGGGCAAAACUCGCUCCUCAUAUAUUUGCACGUAGUCAUGAUGCUCUAGGGGCUCUUCCAAUUUGAAAGCUAGAGUUUCAACAAUUGGAAGGAUCGACGGUUGGGCAAUUUCUUCAGGAGUGUUGAUGGUUUUCUUCAGUCCUUGGCUUGGUUCACUUGCUAGGAAAAACUCGAGCUCCUCUAAGACUUCUUCAUUGGAUAACUCGUGCUCAUCUUCCAUCAUCGAAGGGACUUGUGGAAAAUCUACCAACAAUUCCUCUAACUGCAACUCAACAUCAUCAACUGUACAUUCCAGUUGGUAGUCUUUCAGAGGGAUUAUGUUUGCCUCUUCCUUUUCUGGUUCCAUCUCCAUGUUCAAGAAAUCGUCCUGCACAGAAGCAUUAUCGUCAAACAUAGUAGAUAAACCGAAAAAAUUCUCACCUGAACGCAAAGUGAUGGCGCUCAAAUGCUCCUCAGAUUUAGUAGCGUUUAAUGGAGUUCCCCAUUGUUCUGCCGCUAGUAACUGAAAGAUCAAGCCUACUUGAUGCUCUAUGUUCUUAAUUGAGGCUUGUUGACCUUUAAGUACCCUCUCUGUUUGUUGUAAUCUUUCCUCAAUACUUGUUAUGAACCUCAUCAUCAGCUCCUCUGACACUAACUCUUCAUCUUGAGUUGAAGGUGCAAGAUUAGGCUGCUGAUGUAGUUGCUGAAUUCCUAGUGGUUCUUGGCCAUCUAAGCUCCAUCCAAAGGGUGAAUGAGUGCUCCACUCUUGAUUGUAGGUGCUUCCAUACGAGUCAUUUGGGCAACUUCCCGUAUAAUUCACCUCUUCACAGUUAUAAGAACAAUGAGCAACAUCACUAUAUAAUGGACAAUCAUUACACACAUGUAAACCACAACAAAAUUCACAAAAGACUUGAGAUGAAAGGAUAGGAGAAGAGAGUUGAUCGGUAGCCCUGCAAAACGAUUCCACUCGAGCAUCUAAAGAUGCAUGGGCAUCCCAAUUUUUAGCACUCUCUUAGUUCCUGAUCCCAUUUUCCAAUGUGUCAUACAAAGAGUUUGAAUUUAGCAUUGAACCUCCUUAUCAUUCACUAUCUGAAUCAUAAACUUAAACUAAAUAAAUAUGUACAAAUAAAAUAAAAUAAUUAAACAAAUAAAAAUAAAAAUCAUAAAAUAAUAAGAAAUAAAAAAAAAGGCUAAAUUAACAAAUAGUAAAUUUCACUCUAGUUUUCAAACAUCCCCGGCAACGGUGCCAAAAACUUGAUGGGCUCAAUCGUGUUAGCUACAAUCUAAGGCAGUGUACCUAUCGAUGCAGUCUAGCACUAAUGGCGAGUAUCAAGGUCGUAUUCCUUGGGAAAGUGAAAGCCCAGAGUUACUCCUUCGUUCUUUGUUAUAUUAACCUAAAAUGGAUAAUGAAUAAAUUCUAAACUAACUAUUAACUACAAGCUAAGUUCUGAGGGAGAUGCAGGAGUAAUUGAUAAAUGAAAUAAUCAAGACAAGAAGACAAACCCAAAGGGAAUCUAAACUAGUUGGCAACCGAACAAAAGAUAAAGGAUCGGUGAGUCUAAUUAUGCUACCCGUGGAUGAAUUCUUAACCGAAUUCGGUUUCUCUCUCGAGAUAAUCGAAUUCGGUUUCUCUCUCGAGAUAACCGAAUUCCUAAACCUAAUAACCUAAAGUUGGAAUCUCUUCCUAAUGAUUGAUUCUUAAAUUAGCAUUAAGCUUUAAUCCGCCUCUAUGAAGCUUUGUUAAUUCUUAAUCCGGCUAGUUAAUUAUCCUUAUCUCUAAGCGAUUAUUAACCAGUUCUUGUUAUUCAAAAUUCCAAUUGCCAAACGGAUUUCUCAAUCUCAUAAAGCAAUCUAAACAUCACAAUUCACAACGUCUAAUGAAUAAUGCAUAAUCUUAUUAAUACUGAAAACAAGAAGAAUACAAAACCAACUCAAACAAUCCAACAAUAUAAUAUCAAGCCAACAUAGUAAAGAAAUCCCAAUGGAUUAAAUCAGUCUAGCUAAACAUGUUCAUGUUUAAAACAAUCUACGAAAUCAAUUACAAUGAAAGAAUAAUGAAAAUAAAACAUGUGCACCCUUUUCUCUCGAAUUGGAUGAACAGCUCCAAAUCUGGAUCUACACUUUGAUUAAUCUCCCAAACUGCCUCUUGAAUUGCUUCACUACUGUUUUGCACUCGGAACCUUGCGAUUCCGGGAUUCUUACUCACUGCAACUCUCUCUUGCACUCAAUACUGUACAGAAACCGAACCAGCCUCCAAGGCUCUAUGUCACUAUUUUUCCCCUCCUCUUUUCUCGAAAUAACUCAAAAUUGCCUAUAUAGUUGAUUCAGCAUGGCCGAAGUCCAGGCUGUGAUGAUUCAGCACGGUCGGAGUCCAGAAGGUGAUGAUUCAGCACGGCCGGAGUCCAAGCAGUGCUAAAUCUAUGGAGUCUGUUGUGCUGACUCCUUCCAAGCCGUGCCCAAGCCGGUGCUGAGCCACCAUAGGCCGUGCUGGAGGCCGUGGUGGCUACGGAAGUCGUGUUGAAAUGGCACAAUUGGGGAUAGCCUCUUGGUAAUUCAGCACGGCCGGAGUCCAGGCCGUGCUCAACCCUCGGGGUGCUAGUUCUCACCCAAUUUGAUGGAUUUUGGUCCGUAAUCACACGUAUUUCCCUCGAUUAGUGAUGGUGUCCUUCGAAAAUGACCUAAAACGAGAAAGAAAACAAAAGACAGGUGAUUCUAGCAUAAAACGGGAUAAUCAUGCAUAAAAAUGUAAACAAUCGAGCAUGAAAACAUGUGUAGUAUGAUGCUUAUCAGAGCCCUUGUCCAAUUUUGAUGAAUUCCCAUCCGUUUUAGCACAUAUUAAUAUAUAAUUGCUCAAACACUGAUGAUCGUCCUAUAAAUUCUCUUGAAAUGUAAAAGAACACAAAACACGGGUGAUCUUAGAAUAAAAGCACAAUAAUUGCUAAGAAAAUACACAAUAAUAUGCAACAAAUAUGUGUAAAACUAUGCACAUCAAAUCACCCCACAUUUAAGCUAUUGCUUGUCCUCAAGCGAUUAACAACUCACCUCACAAAACUGCAGUAAGCAAUUCCUUACAGUUUAUGCCCCUAGUCCACAACAGAUAGUAUUCAACACAUCUCAAAGGAUACUCAAUCAUAAAUCAAAUUGCAAAUCAUUAACAGAGAAUGGAAAUAAUAUUAAUGCAUGAAUAACUUAAAUGACAACUCAAUAUAAACAUCACAAACCAAUGCCUCACAGGGAUCACUCAAGUCACUCAAAGUAUAUAUAAGGUGAAAAACAAAUCCCUCAAAGCAAAUGCACAAAAACCCGCUCACCAAGGUUGUGAUGGGGCUAAGGUAAAGGUACAGAGAUUUGGGAAAGAAGUGUGAAAAUGCUGGAAUUCGUGCGAUAGACAAUAAUAUAUGUUCAAAUGAUUAAAUGCCUAAAAUACAAAAAGACUUAUUUCACUAAAAUCCCUACUUCGUAGAAUAAUGCUUGCAAAUGCUCUAAAUCCAAUAAAGAGAUUAAUAAUUAAAGAAUUUUGUUUAUCUUCUUCUUUUUUUCUUUUUUUUUUUAAUACUAAACUAGUAGCUUAUAAGCGAACCGCUGCAUACAACUUGAAUAAAUGUAAAGAAUAAAAAAUACAGUUUGGAUCGAAGGGAGUAUCUAAAAUAUUAAAAAGACUUAGUGAAUUUACCAACAUAGCAACUGGCAUUUUAAUCCCACAUAAGGCUGAGCAAAUCACAAAAAGAUAUUCCAGCAUAAGGGUAGGGGAAAGACAAAUGUAAAGAACGGUAUAAUUGAAGUGUAUAGGUGUAAAUUAUGAAGAAAAGGUUAAGGCUCAAAACUGGCUAACUAAUGGAAACAUAAAGGGGUAGGCUUUUGGCCAAAUGCGGUGAAUCCUAAAUCGCCCAAAUUAUCCCAUGGUAUUCACAAUAUUCAUGUAACUUCAACAAGCAUUACAAAGCAAGUUCUAGAAGCAAAGUCAAGUACAAUGUACACUCAAACAAGAAAUAUAAAGAGCAUAAGUAUAAUGAAUGCUCAACAGGCUCAAAAUCUCACUUUUAGGUGUGGUAUUAGGUGCAAUUGGUUCGCAACAUCAUUAAUUGAAUCAUACUUAAGAAACAUAUGCAUAUGACAUUAUCAACGUUCUAAGUUAAAAUUUGACAAUUCAAAAAACAAUUAAAUAACACCGGUUUAACCCGGCAGGGUUGAUAUGUAAAACACCAUCAAUUGUUUUCCAAGGACAAUGAACAACAAAGAAAAGUAACUAUAAUUCGAUAAAUCAAGUCAUCAAUCAGCUCAAAAAUAGCAUACUCAAGUGCAUAAAAACACAGUGUCCUAACAUCCCCUAAAAAUACACAAUACCUAGCGAUAACAAUUUUAGAUAUAUAUAAAAACCAUAGGAGAGAAAAAGAUUAUAAGGAUUACCCACAAUCACCCCGCACUUGAAGAACACACUGUCCUCAGUGUAAAAUGUUAUGGAUACCCCGGAUGGGAUGCUCAACUGAGAGAAACAAAGGCAAUACAAUCCAAAUGCAUGACAUGUACGAAAAAUAAAGUAAAUAAAUGCAGAAAAUAAAAAGAUCUAGGGGACUGCCCUGAUCAUCCGCUGAGGCUGGUGUAGUGGAAAUUCAGUGCGUCCUCGGUAGAAGCUAAAAAUAAUAAAAUGAAAUAAAAAAAAAUUGAAACUGAAAAUAAAAAUUAAAUAAAAUAUAAAAACUAAAACUAAUAAAAUAUUUCAAAAUGAAAGGUUAGAAUAUUAAAAAUGAAAAUUAAAAUUUGGGAUGCCUCCCAAAAGCGCUUCUUUUUUAUGUGAUGAGUCUUCUUAGCUUGACUCAUGGUGAAAAGCAAACGGGUGUGAUCGACGACCAUCCAUCCUUCUUCUAAGCAAAUGGCUUUAAGUAUCCGCUUAGAGGGAUAAUUAUCAAUUUCCUCCUCUCGACUAUCAAGCAAGCUGCCAAUAUGAUGGGUAAAACUCGCUCCUCAUAUAGUUGCACUUAGUCAUGAUGCUCUAGGGGCUCUUCCAAUUUGAAAGCUGAAGUUUCACCAAUUGGAAGGAUCAACAAUUCGACAAUUUCUUUAGGAAUGUCAAUGGUUUUCUCCAGUCCUUGGCUUGGUUCACUUGCUAGAAGAAACUCGAGCUACUCCAAAACUUCUUCAUUGGAUAACUCGUGCUCAUCUUCCAUCAUCGAAGGGACUUGUGGAAAAUCCACCAAAAAUUCCUCUAACUGCAACUCAGCAUCAUCAACUAUACGAUCCUGUUGGUAGUCUUUUAGAGGAAUCAUGUUUGCCUCUUCCUUUUCUAGUUCUAUCUCCAUGUUUAAGGAGCCGUCCUGCACAUAAGCAUCAUCGUCAAACAUAGUAGAUAAACCAGAAAAAUUCUCACCUGAACGCAAAGUGAUGGCACUCAGAUGUUCCUUGGAUUCAGUAGUCUUUGAUGGAGUUCCCACUUGUUCUACAGCUAGUAACUUGAAGAUCAAACCUACUUGAUGUUCUAUGUUCUCGAUCGAAGCUUUUUGACUUUCAAGUACCCUCUCUGUUUGUUGGAAUCUAUCCUCAAGAUUUGUAAAGAACCUCAUCAUCAGCUCCUCUGAAACUAACUCUUCAUCUUAAGUUGAAGGUGCAAGACUAGGCUGCUGAUGUAGUUGCUGAAAUCCUGGUGGUUCUUGGCCAUCUAAGCUCCAUCCAAAGAGUGAAUGAGUGUUCCAUUCUUGAUUGUAGGUGCUUUUAUACGAGUUAUUUAGCCAGCUUCCCGUAUAAUUCACCUGUUCAAAGUUAUAAGAACAAUGAGCAAAAUUACUGCACGAUGGACAAUCAUUACUCAAAUGUAACCACAACAGAUUUCACAAAAAUCUUGAGAUGAUAGGAUAGGAAUGGAGAGUUGAUCAGUAGCCCUGCAAAACGAUUCCACUCGAGCUGCUAAGGCUACAUGGGUGUCCCAAUUUUUAGCACUCUCUUGGUUCCUGAUCCCAUUCUCCAACGCGUCUUAUCAUUCACUACCUGAAUCAUAAACUUAAACUAAAUAAAUAUGUACAAAUAAAAUAAAAUAAAUAAAUAAAUAAAAAUAAUAAAAAAAUGGCUAAAGUAACAAAUAACAAAUUUCACUCUAGUUUUUAAACAUUCCCCGAAAAUGGCGCCAAAAACUUGAUAGGCUAUUUGUGCAGCUACAAUCGAAGGCAGUGAACCUAUCGAUGUAGUCUAGCACUAAUGCCGAGUAUCAAGGUCGUAUCCCUUGGGAAAGUGAAAGCCCAGAGUUACUACUUUGUUCUCUGUUAUAUUAGCCUAAAAUGAAUGAUGAAUAAUUUCUGAAUUUAAUAAUAACUACAAGCUGAGUUCUAAGUGAGAUGCAGGAAUGAAUGGAUAAAUGAAACAACCAAGACAAGAAAGCAAACCCAAAGGGAAUCUAAACUAGUUAGCAAUCAAACAAAAGAUAACAGAUUGAUAAGUCUAAUUACGCUACCCGUGGACAAAUUCUUGGCUGAAUUCGGUUUCUCUCUCGAGAUAACCGAAUUCCUAAACUCAAGAACCUAAAGUUGGAAUCUCUUCCUAACAAUUGAUCCUUAAAUUAGCAUUAAGCUUUAAUCCGCCUCUAUUAAGCUUUGUUAAUUAUUAAUCUAGCUAGUCAAUUAUCCUUAUCUCUAAGUGAUUGUUAACCAGUUCUUGCUAUUCAAAAUUCCAAUUGCCAAAUGAACUUCUCAAUCACACAAAGAAAUCUAAACACCACAAUUCAUAACGUCUCAUGAAUAAUGUAUUAUCUUAUUAAUACUGAAAGAAAGAAAGAUACAAAACUAAACUCAACACUCCAACAAUUUAAUACUAAGCCAACAUAGUAAAGAAAUCCCAAUGGAUUUAAUCGAUCUAGCUAAACAUAUUCAUGUUUAAAACAACUAGGAAAUCAAUUAUAAUGAAAGAAUAAAAAAAAUGAAACAUACACACCCUUUUUCUCUCGAAUUGGAUGAACAGCUCCAAAUCCGAAUCAGCACUAUGAUUGGUUUUCCCAAUUGCCUCUCGAUUUGCUCCAAUACUAUUUUGCGCUCGAAACCUUGCGAUUUCGGGAUUCUCCCUCUCUGCAACUCUCUCCCGAACUCAAUACUCUGCAAGAACCGAACAAGCUGCCAAAUCUCCCCCUCGCCCUUUACUUUCCUAGCUUAAGAAAUCAUUUUCCUUAUAUAAUUAUCCGAGCACAGCCGUGGUCAUGGCCGUGCUAGUCAGCACGGCCGGAGUCCAGGUCAUGCUGAACCUUCGAAUCUCGCAAGUUAGGUUUUCUUCCUGUCCAUGCCCCUGUCGGUGCUGACCACCACGAGUUGUGCUGGAGGCCGUGACAGCCUCGGAAACUGUGCCUAAAAUGCCAUAUUUGAGGAUCAAAGGCUAAUGGUUGGUCACGGCUAGAGUCCAGGCCGUGCUCAAUGUUUGACAUGCGAGCCCUUGUCCAAUUUUGAUGAAUUCCUGUCUGUUUUGGCACGUAUUUAUCUAUAAUUGCUCAAACACUGAUGAUAGUCCUAUAAACUCUCCUGAAAUGCAAAAGAACACAAAAUACGGGUGAUCUUGGAAUAAAAGCACAAUAAUUGCUAAGAAAAUACACAAUAAUAUGCAAGCAAAUAUGUGUAAAACUAUGCACAUUAGUAGCCUUUGGGGCUAGCCGAGCUAAAGGUAGAGCUCAAGGAAGAGACCAAGAAAACAGACAGAAUCAAGGGACCGACUAAAAAGUGGCAAACUUCAUUUAUGGUAAUCGAUAUUCUAUUUGCAUACAAUGUAAUUUUUGGAUGACCUAUGCUGAUGGAUAGAAAGGUAACCAUGAGUAUCAACUAUUUGAAAUUGAAAACUCUAACUUCUAGAGGGGUCAUUACUAUGCUUAGUAAUCAGAAGAUGGUGAGAGAGUGCUAUCUUACUGCACUGAAAGAGACAUGCCAAGCACUCCCUAUAGAAGCUUUGUUGCAUCCAAUAGUGAAAGGUCUGACAAAAGAAAAGCCAAUGGGAGAGUUAAGGAAGUUAUCUUUUAGGCGGGGAUCUAAAGAAAGCAGUUCAGUUCGGCACUGAGUUUUUUGAUCAAGUGAUUCAAAGUAUAAAACAUGUGCUUAUUUAGAAAAAACACAUGUUUGCUAGCUCACCUUCUGAGAUAGUCAGGGUCCAUCCGAGUAUAAUCUCCUAUCAAUUAAAUGUCAAUCCAAGCUUUAAGCCGAUUAAGCAUAAAAAGAAAGCCUUUGCUCCUGAGUGGCAGAUUGCCAUAGCUGAAGAAGUCAGCAAGCUGCUGAAAGCUAGGUUCAUCAGGCAGGUAAUGUAUCCAAAUUGGGUAGCGAAUGUGGUAUUGGUUAAGAAACCAAAUGGAAGGUGGAGGAUGUGUGUAGAUUUUACAGAUAUGAAUAAGGCUUGUCCGAAAGAAAGUAUCCUCUCCCUAAUAUUGAUUAGUUACUGGAUUAAACCAAUGGUUAUAAGGUCUAUAGCUUUGUUGAUGUUGCUCAACGUUGUCAUCAGAUCAAGAUGUUUAAUUUUGAUAAAAAGAAGACUUCUUUUGUCAGGGAUAUAGGUACCUUUUGUUACACAAUAAUGCAUUUUUGUCUAAAGAACACUGGAGCAAUAUAUCCAAAGAUUGGUAAACACUAUAUUCAAAGAUCAGAUCAACAAAAAUAUGGAAAUAUAUAUGGAUGAUAUGAUCAUCAAGUUGGCUAGGGGCGAGGAUCAUGCUAGGGAUCUGGAGGAAGCAUUCAACAUCCUAAAGAAGUACCUGCUCAAGUUAAACCUUGACAAGUAUGCUUUUUGGUGUUAAAGCUGGGAAGUUUCUAAGAUUUAUGAUCUCGCAAAAUGGGAUAGAGGCUAACCCUGAGAAAAUCAAGGCAAUCAUAAAGAUGAGACCUAAGUAGCAUUAAUAAGGUGUAAAAUUUAAAUGGCCGAAUAAUAGCUCUUGGUCAGUUCAUCCCUUACUCGGAUAGAAGAUGCUUACCGUUCUUUAAGACUUUGAAGAGCGUUAAAAAUUAUGAAUGGAUAGAGGAAUAUUAGAAGGCUUUCAAAGAGACAAAGAUGUUCCUAAGCUCGACACCCUUACUCAUUAGACCUUUAAGUGGAGAAAAUCUGUAUUUGUAUUUGGUGACGACUAAGGAAACCAUCGCCUCCAUCCUUAUCAAAGAGGAUGAUGGCAAACAGAAGCCUAUUUAUUAUACGAGUAAGGUGUUGAAAAGGGCGGAGACUCGGUACCCCAUGAUAGAGAAGUUAGACUUGGAUAUCAUCACCCUAUUACCAAGCUUAGAUAGUAUCUUCAAUGCACAUAGUAAUAAUCAGAACGAAUCAGCCAUUAAGAAAGGUUUUACAAAGGCCAUAAGCAUUUGGGAGAAUUGUCCAUUGGUUGGUCCAGGUGGGAGUUUUUUAUAUUCGGUGUGAACCUAGAAAGGCUAUGAAAGCACAUAUAUUAGCUGACUUCGUGAUAGAGAUGAGCAUGCCUAAAAUUGUAGAGAAAGUUGAUGAAGCUCAUAUUAAAUGGAUAUUGCAUGUUGACGGAGCAUCUAAUGUUGAUGGAGCAGGAGCAGGUAUGCUCCUUGAGAGACCAAAUAACGUUCAGCUCAAAAGCUCGGUAAAAAUAAAGUUUAAAGCUUCUAAUUAUGUUGUCGAGUAUGAAGCUUUACUUGCAGGCUUAAAUAUGGCAGUAACAGUGGAAGCCAAGCAUCUGAGCAUCAUUAGUGAUAUAUAGUUAGUGGUUAAUCAGAUAAUGGGGGUUUUUAAAGUUAAAGACACUGAUCUCGCCAAGUAUGUAAGUCAGCUAGGAGUUAUGUUGUAGAAAAUUGAGGAUGCUGGGGGCCAAUGAAGUAUUAUCCAAAUAAAAAAAGCAUACUAUUUAGGUAAGCUCACCUCACAAGGUGAGUUGAGCAAUAAUGUCCCAUUUUACAUAUUUGAAGAGCCUAACAUAGUAAAAGAGGAGGUAUUAAUCAUUGAAGAGUAUAACCCAUAGAUGAAAGAGAUCAUCCAAUACCUUGUAGAAGGAAAGUUACUAGAGAACAAGAGUUCUACGACUAAAAUAGUAAAGACCUUGGCCAUGUAAUUAGGAUGAGAAGACCUUCAACAUCUAUAUAAGGAACUAUAAUAUAUUUUUUUUAACAGGUACAUGCUACUUUACACCCUCAUUAUACUAUAAGCCACCCUUUUAUAAAUUACUGACUAAAUUAUCGGAGUUAGUAGCCGGACAACCUUGUCCGGUGCUUUCUAACCAUUUUGCAGGUACUACGAAGAUCAGGUCAGCCUUUGGAGAUCUUAUUAUUAAUUCAUCUUAUUGGUUGAGUUAUCAGUACUCUUUACCCAUGUCGAGAUUAAGGCUAAAUUUUUAUUAUCCUUUUCCUCAAUAUUAGCAUAAAAUUGCUUAAUCAAUUCAGGAUAAUAGUAAUUUGGGAUGUUCAAAACACCUUCCCAUCUAAUGCUCUAAAAUGCCUCACUCAAAUUAAAGAGGGUCUCAAUUUGGGAAUUAAUACCCUUUUCAACAAUCAUGUUAUUACCCACCCUAGCAUUAUACCAUGUCUUAUUUGCUCUAGUAAUAAAGCUUUUAACAUCAUUAGGAAUAUCCAAAUUCCUACUAGAGCUAAGAUUGAUUGCUACUUAGUCAUUUGAUCUUCUUCCUUUAUUAGCUUGCUUAGUCAUGCUUCUAGCAAUUCAAUUAAAUUCAACCGUAAUUGAACUUAAAUUCACAAUGCUUAAUAACAAAUUCACCACAAAGCACCAAAUCCAACUCAAAACACUAAGAUUGAUUACUCAAUUAAGGUCUAAACACUUUACAAUACUCUUAAAACCCCACAAAUUAGUCACUCAAAUUGUUGAAGUGAAAACCUACUUGAGUUUUGAGUUGGAUUUGGUUUGGGUAUUUUUAAUUGAAAGAAUAUGUACAAAAGUGAGAGAAGAUGAAAAAAAUAUGUUUAAAAUGCCCAUAUAGAGCCUAUUUUCAACAUGAACCAGCCUCGGGUCACCAAUUGAGCCCUAAACAUUUCGACUGAUCCAUCUGGACGAGUCUUAAUCUUGUACACCAACUUAAAUGAAAUAGGCUUUACAUCUUUGGCUUUAGAACUAAGUCCCAAGUUUGGUUUUUAGUGAGAGCUUUAAUCUACUCUACCAUACCUCUUCUCCAAUCAACCUUUUUUAUGCUUCUCCAUAAGAUGUUGGCUCUCUUUCUUCUUCUACUAGUGCAAUAUUGACAUAUUCAGGGUUUUGCUUUUUUAGUCUGGUUGAUCUUCUUAAUGGUGGUGGUGAUGCCUUUACUACUUGUUGGUCUUCCGGAAUCUCUGUUGUUGGUUUAUUCUCUAGCUCAGUUCUCUAAUAAACACCUAUUUGGGAUGAUCUUUCUUGAGGUUGACGCUAUGUUAGAGUUUCUAAACUUUGUUAGACUUCUUUUGACAUCUCAUUUUCUUACAAUUGUUUUACUUCUUUAGAAUGACGAAGUGCAACAUAUUCAAGUGUCCACCAUGAUGAUGUCUCAUCAAACACAACAUUUUAUGAGACAUGACAUUUUCCAGUUGUAGGAUCACAACAUCGCCAAGCUUUUCUUUUUUCAUCAUAGCUCACAGUAAUACACCUAUUUUCCUUUUUGUCAAACUUGCUACGUAGAUGAUCAGGAACAAAUACAUAGCAAAACAACUAAAUACUUUGAAAUGGCUCACGAUGGGUUUCAAUUUCCAAUUUCUCGAAUGGAGACAUAAAUCCCAUCUUUGGUUGUGGAAGUCUAUUGAUUAUAUGAGCUGUUAUUCUCAUGCAUUCGGCCCAAAAUAUACCAGGAACAUUUUUAGCAUGCAACAUACUCGGCAUGUUUCUGCAAGAUGCUUAUUCUUCCUUUCUACUACACCAUUUUAUUGCGGUGUAUUCAACAAGUCAAUUGUCAUUGAAUCUUGCAAUGAAAGAGAAAAUUAAAGAAUUCAUCGGACAUGUAUUCUCCCCCUAUUAUCAGUACAAAGGCACUGGAUCUUCCUUCCAACUUCACUUUCAACCAUUAGCUUUAAUUCUUUGAACUUUGCUAGAGCUUCAGAUAUUUUUCAUAAAAUACAUCCAAACAUACCUUGAGUAGUAAUCAAUGAUUGUCACUAUAUAGUGCAUACCAUUAACUAAGGAUUGCUUCACCUUCUUAAAUACAUUCGAGUGAAUUAACUCUAUUGGUUGUUUAGCUCUAAAUGAUGAUUCCUCAUAUGGUAGUUGAUGUGCCUUUCCAUAUUGACAUCCUGGACAGAUCGUGUCAAUACAGACAUUAAGAUAAGGUAGUCCUCUUAAUGAAGACUUGCUCAUCAUUAUUUUUAGGUAGUUGACAUGUCUGAACCAUGCAUGCCAUAAAUAAGUAGUUCCAUUGUUCCUUUUCUUGUCAAUAUAAGCCUGCUCUGCUAGCAUGACAUACAUAGAAUCCACCUUUUGUCCCUAAAUUAUUGGCGUAUCAAUUAUUUUGACGUGUUGACCAACCUUAACAUCAUUUGGGCCAAAUACAAAUAAACUUACCAAAAUUUGUAAGUUGUGAGACUGAUAAAAGAUUCUUCAUGCCUAAUACUUGAUAGAGAUCUUCCAAUUAAACUUGCUUUUGAUUGAGACAAGAAUCGAUCAUUGUGUCACCAAUAUGAGUGAUUGGUAUUCGUGAGUUAUUUGCAAUCACCAUAAAUUGUUUGCCUUUGUACUAUGAAACCUUGCAGAACUUGUAUUUAUCUCUUGUCAUAUGACUAGAACUUUCCAAAUUAAAGAUUUAGUCCUUCUAAUAGUCAAUUCUAUAAGAAUUUAAGCACUAGAGACUGCUCCUCUUUUUCCUCCAUUGUGGUUGAUAAGGCUGGGUACUUCUAUACUUUUUAAAUCAAAACACUCUCCCACUUGCAUUGUUUCAAGAGUCACAAACAAUGCUUCAGCAUCCCACUCAAGUUCAGCUUGGUAACGAUUGCUCAUUAUUGCUGCAUUACUUUCAACAGAUUUCUUCUUAGACCAACAAUCCCUAGCGUAGUGUCCCUUUUUGCCACAAUUGAAACACUCACCACUUUGACAUCUAAAACUUUUAGACUAUCGAUUGUCUUGGUGUUGCUUCUGUUGAGCUCCCUCUGAUUGAAAGUUUCCUCGUGUCUUCCCUCUAUUUUGACCACGAGGUUGGUUCUUUCUCUUGUCGGUGAAGAGCGCCACUUCAUCGGUAUUCAAGGACAUUCCCGCCAUUUGUUUUGCUGGAAUUUCUUGACUUGCCAACAUACUUUCCAAUUCUUCAGUUGAAGGUUGUGCGAACCAACCUUGAACUGCAAUAAUAAAUACCUUGUACUCAAGUUGAAGGCCAUGUAUGAUGAUUCGCCUCAUUCUUUCAUUGACUAUUUUCGAUGCCUCAUCCAACUCAACAAUUUCUCUACAUAAGGACUUCACCUUGGUAAAAUACUGACUAAUGGUCAUAUCCCAUUAGACAUUAGUUUAUUUCUAACAAUUAAAGUCUUGUGUCAUUAUUCUUUGUAAACCGUAAAGUAAGAUAAUCCCAAAGCCUGUUAGGGUGUCACAACUUCUCUUAUGUGCUCUAUCAUUUCUUCUUCAAUGGUGGUUUUAAUGGCGAACAUGGCUUUUCCAGCUCUAAUUUCCCAUUUCGAAGAUUACCGACAUCUUCUUCUGGUGGUAGUAUAGUCUUGAUCCCAGCAAUAACCUUCUAGAGGUCUUGACCCUGAAAGUAUGACUCCAUGCAAGUCUUCCACAUGCUAUAAUUAGUAUUAUUUCAUUUUUUAAUAACACCAGUAUUGCUUAAUUUUGCAAUUGUGAUAUGAUUUCAGUGGCCUCGCAAUUAACCAAGUAAGGGUGGUUCCAAACCGAUUAGCCUCAUAGAUUUAAACUGCGUACAAGCAAAAUCUCCCACGUAUAGUUGCUUUGUACAUAAAUGUCAAAAACAAAAUAAGACCCUCAUUUGAAGAGCUCUACUACCACUUAUUGAGUGUGAAGAGACGAUAAUAAUAAUAAUAAUAAUAAUAAUAAUAAUAGUAGAAAUAAUAAUAAUAAUAAUAGUAGAAAUAAUAAUAAUAACUAGCACAUGGAUAAUGGGAUAAUUUAACAAUGAAAAAAUAUAUAUAUUUCUUACUAAAAAUAAACUUCACUAUUACAACUUACACAUUAUAACUCAUCACUCACUAAUUUUAUUCACUCUAUUACACUCUUAAAUUGCUUACUAACUUGAUACACUAAUCUCCAAAACCAAGACCUUAUACUAGUACUUUGUUGCCCCAAUUUCUUCACGGGCACGAGAGUACUGGCCAAGAAAAAUGAUUGGCCAAUACUCAUGUGUGUUCACCAAGCAUGAGUAACUUCCAAGAAGAAUACAAAAUGGCCAUGGGCUAAGUGAUAUGGGCUAAUUAGUAAUGAUUUCAAUAGCUUGAGGAGUGGAUUUAGGCAAGGAACUAGUUGAACUACUACAAAUAUUGUAUUUGAAUCUCUCUUCCCUACACUUUUAUAUUUGUUAUAUUUAUGCUUGCUAUAUAUUGUGAUUUAUUCUUGCAUUUUAUAUUGAGAAUUUUUCAAUUGCAUUGAUUAAUUGCUCGCUACUAUUAGUUUUGAUACUUAAGUCUUUCAAAGAAAAACUUUUAAGUAGAAUUUAUUUUUGUAAACAACCAAUUCACCCCUCUCCCCCUCCUUUGGUUGCCAUAAAGUAUUUUAAUUGGUAUUAGAGUCAAUGCUCUUCAUAAAGAUUUAAUCAUCUAAGAGUUAAUCCAUGGCAACCUCAAAUAGGUUUAUUUUAAAAGAAGAGUUUUCACUAAACAACCCUCCAUUUUUAUAGUAGCAUUUUCAGUUUUGGAAAUAAAAUAUGGAUGAUUUUCUCACGAGUGUUGAUAUUGAUUUAUGGAAUAUUGUAGAAGGUGGUAUUUGGGUUAGCGAACCCAAAAAUCAAUGGCAUGGUCAUGAUGAGCAACAAUUUACGAUAAACAUCAAAGCCAUGAGAAUUUUAAGAAAUUCUUUAAAUGAAAUUGCUUAUGAAAAAAUUAAAUCAUAUGCUAGUGCUAAGCAUAUUUAGGAUUGUCUUAAUUUUACUUACAACACUAAUACUAUAUGUGAAGAGAAUGAACUUCUAAAGAAAAUAAAGUGAUGAGAAGAAAAAAAUAAAAAGAACUCUUAAGAUUGCUCUAUGGAUGAUCGCGCAUGCUUAAUUUCCUUUGAAGAGGAUGAGGAAACACUGCCAAGAAGAGAAAGAAGUUUAAAAUAUUCAACUUUAGCAUUUUCAAUCUAUGAUGAUAUAAGCAAGUAUUCUAUAAAACAAGAUGAUAAGGUAACAUCAAGUCCUUACAAAUUUAAUAUUAAUGAUGAUGAUGAUGAUGAUGAUGAUGAUGAUCCCUUUUAUAAUGAGUUGUUAAAUAUAUUAGAAUCUACACAAGAUGCUCUUGAGAAGAUAAUGAAGGAAAAUAAAAAUUUCAAAAUUAAAAUUAGAGAUUUAGAAAAAAAAAUGAAACUUUUAAAAAAGAAAAUUCAUCUUUGAUUUCAAGACAAAUUACUUUAGAAGAGAAAAACUAAAGAGCUUUCGAAGAAAUCACUUGAUUUUAAGAAUAUCUUAAAAAGCAAUGAAAAUUUUAAGAAUGAGAAUAGGCCUUUCAAAAAAGAAAAUGAAUAAUUGAAAGAUAUAAUCCUUUCUCUAACUUUCACCCAAGAUGUUUGAGAAAGGAAAAAUGAUGAGCUUUUGAUAAAGUCCCAAAAUGUUGAUAAGAUUUUGAAAGUAUAUGAAAAUUUGAAAAAGGAAAAUGAAGUUCUUAAAAAUGAGAUUAUUGACUUAAGAUCAUCACUUUCAAAAUUUACUAAUGGAAAGAAACUCUUGAUGCUUUGCUAGGUUCUAAAAGAUCAUCUUGCAUAAAACAAGGAUUAGGCUACAAUGUUGUAUCACCUAGCACACACAAGACCAAGUUUGUGAAAGCAUUUUAUUUCUCAAAUGAUCAAGCAUUAAUUAACACACAAGUGAAUGUUACUAAAGUGUCUCAUCCUAAACAUGAUCAUUCUAAGAAUUCUCACAAUUAUGCAUAUAAACACAAAUCUUUUGUGAAUAUAAGCAUGCCAUUGCAUAUAAAUUUCAUGGACAUUAUUACUCUUGUAAUACAUAUAGACAUAAGACAUCCAAUUGUAAAAUUAGAAGACAUGUCUAUUCAUCACAUGCUAGACCACUUAUUAGAUAUUUCUCUUAUUCUAAUAUAAAUGAUCAUUUUUGCUUAUAAUUGUGAUUUCAAGAGGAACCAAUCCAAAACCAAGAUGGUUUGGGUUGCUAAGACUAACAAUCAAGGACCCGAAGAAAGAUGAGUACCUAGAAAACUAUUUUCUUCUUAUUGGAUGCAAGGUACAAAAAGAAAAAGACUUGGUGGAAGUGAAUAAAUUGGCAAUAACCAAAGACUAAACAAUUUCAUUGGCAUUAAACUCAAAAAUAUUGGAAUAGAAAUGGUGAGCAAUGGAAAUUCAAAAGAGUAGGAAGACCAUCUCCAUUUGGAGAUUGAAGAUAGAAGAGGUCAUGAGGAGAUUGCUGUCAACAAAGACCUAAAAUGAGAGAGAAAAAUGAAGAACAUAUAAAGUCUCUGAAAAUGGAUUAGCAAAGUAAAACUCCUCAUUCAAUAUGUACAUCAACAACAUAAAAUCAAGAAAGUUAAGGCAAAAAUUGUACUCCUAAACCUUAGUCUUGAUUUUAUAUGUUUGAUGUAUUUGUAAGAAAUUAUUUAUUGAAUAUGCAUGUGUUAAAUAUGUUUAUUGUGCAUACAUGUUAUAUAUUGAUGUGUAAACCUUAAGGUUUUGCAUAAUUUGAUGUGUAAUAACUAUUUGGAUUAUGCACUUAAUCCUUUGAUUUAAUUCAUGAUAUAUUUAUUCAACAAUUAGUACCAUCAUGGACAAUUUCCUUAUUAUCUUGUGGAUGUUAACCCUCAACAACCCAAUAAGUUAAAAGGUGCCAAACUUAUGCUUUCUUGUAGAAAUACUUCAAGGAAGAUGUUCUUGCGGUCAUGCUUAAGAAAAAGGGAGGACAUGAGCCAAGUUUGAGAAAGCAUGAGUGCAAAUUAAGGAUAUUCUUACAUCAUUAUUAAAUGUUGAUAAUAUUCUCCCUAAAUGUUGAUAAUUUUAGAGUUGGAAAGCAAAAAUGAAGUAUAUCUAUGUCUUGAAUUUUUUGAUUAAAAUAAUUUGAAUUUCUAAUUUCAUGCUCCCAAGGAUUUCAAAAUGUCCUUUAUCCUUAAAUUGAUGAAAAGUCAAUUUUACUCUUGAGAUGAAUACAUCUUAUUCUUGAUUAAGUUAACCUCUUGCUCCUUAAAAGGUAGCUAUUUAUGCCUAUAUUUUUCAUAGACAAUAUAAAUGAAGUACAAAGUGAUCUCAAAGAGGAAACACUCAAGAACUCUUGAUGAAUAUAAAGAGAGAAGAAUACCAAAAACCAUGAUCAAAGUUAAAAAAUUAAGUAUUUAAACUUUCCAAUAUGCUCAACGAGAUUCAAUUGAUCUUAGUAUUAAAAGAUUGUGCUAGUGGAAGUUAAGUUGUAGUGAUAUUCUUAAAUGGUAUAUAAUCUUCACUCUUCAAUGAACCUAAUGAGUCGUGAGUAAAUCUUUAUAUUGAAUACACUUAAAUCCUUAAAUUUUUAUUUGCUUAAUUGUCUAUGUUUAUUUAAUAGCAACCAUUAACUUCUCAUCCUUUUUCCUAUUAAGAACAAGUGGUCUUACUCUUGUACUUAUUAAUCAUGAAAAAGAUUAUUGGUUUAAGGGGGAGCUUAAUCUUUAUGAGUAUCAUGCAUAAGGAGAGAUAUAAAUGAAUUAAUGCUACACUUGUAGAAAUGUAAUUGUUUUUGUUCUGUAGGAAAUCAUUUAAGCUUUUAAACUUCUCUCCAAUAUUCAAAUGUCAAUUGAUCAAGCUACAAAGAUUGAAACUAAGUUGGAGCUAAAUUAUCUAUUCUAGAAAUCUUACCAUAAAAGAAAGAGAAUCGUGCAUCAAAUUUCUAUCAUAUUAAGGAGAGUAUAAUCAAACCUCACUUACUUAUUUGUUUUAGAUAUGUGUUAGAUCUUCUAGAUCAAGUGUUUGAAUAUACACUCUCAUUCCCUAAGGUUCCAAAUAGUCAUAUAUUAUAGGGAGAUAUAUUUUUAGUUAUGCAAAUAUUACUUUUUUAAGGAGGAGUAAACACAUCAUGAAGAUCCUGAAGUUGCAAAAGAAAUGAGAAAUAUACAUGUAUCUUUUGAUUUCAUGCAUUUAUUUAAUUUUUUUGCAUUAAAAAUAUAUAAAAUUUAUGAUAAUGACCUUUUUUGAAUGAUUCCAAAAAAGGGGGAGAAUAAUUUUGAUUAUUGCAUCAAUGUUUUGUCAUUAUAAAAAAGGGGUGGUGUGACCCUGAGAUUUCACGUGUGCUUUUAAUGAUGCAAAAUAUUAUUACUAUUAACAAUCUUGUUUAGUAUUGUUGUUCAUAGUAGGUAAUUUUUAAUUAUCAUUGAUGCAUAUAAAUGAAGAUGAAGGCAUAAGUGUGAAGAUGGAUUCAAGAGUUAAGGACUUGAAUACUUGAGUUAAUAUGAACAUCAAGAUAAAAUCAUGAGGUAAUAAAUGUAGGAAGAGUGAUAGAACAUAUAAGGGCAAGGUAAAGAGCAUGUGGAGUCAAGAAACUCAUGUGAACAAGCAUGAUAUCUAUGGAAUAAUAUCAGUGUGCUAAAGUUUGAAGAAUAAACUAUACUACUUGAAAAGUCUAUGAUGGAAAACCAGACAUGGAAAAUAGCUACAUUAAUCUAGUUUCAAGAACAAAGAUAGGAAUAAUUUUUGGAGCUAUAAACAUAUAGUUUUGAAUUUUCGAGUGAAAUAUGCUCAAUCAUCAGGUUGCCUUAUAGCAAAUGAGGUCACUUAGACUUAGUGGCAUUAUUGCUAUAAGAGGAUUUUUAGUAUGCCCUUCUCCAAAUUUAUGGUCCUAAAAGUCUAGUUUCAUAUCAAUAUGAUGUGUAUUGAAGACGUAAUAGCCAAAAUAUUGAGGUAUGUCCAAAUUAUCAUAUGCCGAGAUGAGCAAUAAAAUAUUUUAAUUUUUUAGAGUAUGAAGAUGGCUGAUUUUAGAGUUUCUCAAAAAUAAAUAGUUGUGGCGGAUUGACAAAAGUUUCUAACAAAAAGAUGGUUUACCAUUUGGAGUUGUAUAACUUAAGAUUUCGAGUUUUUAAAUAGUCACGCCCGUGACACAAAAUUCACACGUGUGACUAAAAAGUAGAAAAUUGGCAGAAGCAUUCAGGCUUGCAUUCAAAGCCAUAAAAAUGGCUCUUCAUGCCCGCGAACAAUUAUUCACGGCCAUGAACACUCAGGAAACCAAUUUUUAGAGCUGUUGGAGUAAAGAAAUUACAGCUGUUGCAUCCUUCACGCCCGUGACACCCUUUGAACAACUAUAACUUUAUCCUUUAAAGGGGAUAAUAGCUAGCUCCUGCUUGGAGCUAAAAAUACUCACUUGGGACAUAAAAUUGAAGGUUCUUAAGCUCUUAAAAGAUCACUUCAUACAUCUUUGAGCAUAGAGUUCAUCAUCAAACCCUCUUGUUCUUCAUUUGUAAGGUUAAAAUACUUUUGUGUGAGGGUUGUAAGUCCACUCUACCUUUUACUAUUGAGCUAUAUUUAUAUGAGUGAACUUGGCUUCUUACUUCUCAAAAUCAUUCUCUAUUGUAAUGGUUUGAGUGUGAGCCAUAAAAUACUUAGAAAGGUUUGAGUGUUAGCUAUAGCAAAAUACUUGAAUUUCAAGGUUUGAGUGUUAGCUAUAGAGAAACACUUGGGUUUGAGUAUGAGCCAUAAAACACUUGAAAAGGUUUAGGUGUGUACCUUGAAAACACUUGAAUUUGAAGGUUUAAAUGUUAGUCAUAGAAAACCACUCGUAUUUAAGUGUUAGCCAUCAAAACACUUGUAAGAAGUUUGAGUGUGAGCUUGAAAAUACUAGGGUUUGAUCUUGCACCCGUAAAAAAGGAUCAUUGAUAGUGGAAAUCUCAAGUGAAGCUUGAGAACUGGAUGUAGGCAAGGAGUUGGUGGAACCGCUAUAAAUCUUGUGUUUGAAUCUCUCUUUCCUACACUCUUAUAUUUCUUAUAUUUAUGCUUGCCAUAUGCUGUAAUUUAUUCAUGCAUUUUAUAUUGAGAAUUUCUCAAUUACUUUAAUUGCUUCCGCUAAUAUUGAUUUUGAUAUUCAAGUCUUUCAAAACAAAAGUUUAAUUCACCCUCCAACUCUUGGCUGCCAUAAGGUAUUUCACCAUCCCUUGGAAUUUCUUCCUGAGCUCAAUGUUCAACUCUCUUUAUGCCAUCUUUAUAAAUUUUGUCUCAGGCAAGAAGAUUUUGCAUUUAUUUCUCAUCUUUUUGAACGUAGCAAUGAUGAGAUUGGUAGUUUCUCCUACACUUUAGGUUAUCUUGGAUAAUGCACACCUCAGGUAUAACUCUAAAGAACUGAGUAUGGAAUUGCCUCUCCAUUUCCUGCUAAGUUAGGAUAUAAUUCCUAGGAAGGAUAGUAUACCAUGUAAAUGCAACACCGAUCAAGGAGUUAGAAGACAACCUUGACUUAAAAUUUGCAAAAUUCUCAUAAUUAGCUAGUUCACCACAUUUUAUAGUAAACCUAGCGAUAUGUUUAAGAGUUGAGUGACCAUUUUCUCUUGAAAAUAUUGCAAAAUCUAGAAUCAUGUAUCCUCUGGGAUAUGGGUUGUCUCUAUCAAUGAUAUUAGGAUAGGGCCUGUAAAAUUGCAGUCUCCCUACUAGUCUUAAACCUGGUCCAUAAAGCUCCUGAACCACAUCUCUUACAGCUUCCAUAUCCAUUAUCUGAGGUGGUUGGGGUUGAACAAGAGGUCUUAGCUGGUACCCUUGAUGCCCUCUAUUGUUUGUUAUUCUUGGAGGCAUGCUCCUAGUGUAGGAUUUUGUAUCCCUUCCUUAUCAUACAUCAUUGGUUAAUCAACAGGAUUAGUAACAGCAUAAAUUUGGUGUGGUAACAUGGGUCUACCCAUAUGAAGGCAGCCAGUGGGGAUAACUCCUCUUAGUAAGCCCACAUCCCUCUUGUGAGGAGGAACAUAUAUCUCAUCUAGGACUAGUAGUGCUUGGGGCCUUAGAGCUUCAUUCUCUUCCUAUGAACUUGUGGAAGAUUGCCCUUUUGUUCUCCAUUUGCAUUCUAUUCCAUAGUUUGUGAUAAAACAUAUUGGCCUCUUGGCCUAGGAUUUAGUUGAGGUAGAUUUGAAGUAACUCUCUCAGCAAUGUUAGCCAUAAUAGUGCUAAAUUACUGCAUUAAAACAUUGGCUACUUUCCUAUGGCUCUUCAUGAGAUUAUUGUGAGCCUCUUCCAUAUACUUACUAGCAGCUUUCACUUGCAUAUUGAAAGCAUCAAUCAUAGGAUUAGUAUCAAAAAUCUGAACUAAAGGUAAAACAUCUU